CGUUUAUGGAGCAAGACUUGAAGAUGGGAUGAAGAUUGCAAUAAAAGUGUUUCACCGGCAAUGUGCAAGCGCAUUGAAGAGUUUUGAGGCUGAAUGUGAAGUGUUAAAAAAAAUUCGCCAUCGAAACCUUAUCAAAGUUAUCAGCAGUUGCUCGAACGAUGACUUCAAAGCAUUAGUCCUAGAAUACAUGUCCAACGGGAGCUUAGGGGAUUGGCUGCAUUCGAGCAAUUACGUGCUGAAUAUUUUUCAAAGGUUGAACAUAAUGAUUGACGUUGCAUCAGCUUUAGAAUACCUCCACUUCGAUCAUUCAACUCCUAUUAUUCAUUGUGACUUAAAGCCUAGUAAUGUAUUGUUGGACGAAAAUAUGGUUGCUCAUUUGAGUGAUUUUGGCAUAGCAAAGCUUUUAAGUGGAGAAGAUGAGUCUACGAUGCGAACAAAAACCCUUGCCACUAUAGGUUAUAUGGCACCAGGUUUGCUUCAAACAACUUUUUUUUUUAAGUUCAUUUUAAAUUUUCUAAAUCAUUGAUUUUUACGAUCCUCAUAUCAAAUUGUUAUUGAUUAUUUAUCUAAUUGUGAAAUUAAUUUGAUUCAUAGAGUAUGGCAUAGGAGGAGAAGUAUCUACAAAAAGCGAUGUUUACAGCUACGGGAUUAUGUUGAUGGAAACUUUUACCAAGAAAAAACCCACAGAUGAAAUUUUUGUUGGAGAAUUGAGCUUAAAGCAUUGGGUUAAUGACUUGCUUCCUAAUUCAUUAGUGGAAGUUGUGGACAAAACUCUGCUAAGUGGAGAGGAAAAACAUUUUGCAUCAAAGGGGCAAUGUCUGUUGUCUAUCUUUAGUUUGGCUCUGGAGUGUACAAUGGAAUCACCGGAAAAGAGGAUUAAUGCAAAAGAUAUUGUUACCGGAUUACUCAAGAUAAGAGACACAUUGAGUAAAAGGAUAGGAAAUUUAAGUUAAUUUCGUUUGCUUUCAUUGAUAGUUAAUUCGAAUUCAUGUAAUAAGUGCAAGAAUCUUAUAUCUUUUCCUUUGAUAUAUUCUUUUUCUUGAGAAAACUGUUGUAGUCAUCUUGUUUCCAUGGGAAGAGUUGAUUUAGUUCUUCCAAAAAAUGCUACUGAUGACCUUUGUUUAAUACUUUCUCUUUUUUUGCACGUGUUUAGGUAGAACAGUGGUUUGGCUGCAGGCUAAUAAGUCAAGCUACGCCAAAAGCGUAUGAUUUAAUUUAUUAAACAUAACUUCAAGUUCAAGAAGUGUUUCUCAUUGCCACCAAUGCUUUGGACACCUGUUGGAAGGUUUGUUGUCCUCAGCUUUUGUUUAGAGCAAAAGUUCGAGUCCCAUAAAGGCUCAAACAUUCCUUUCCUUCAUCCCGAGGGCGCCUUCUGUCCUCUGUUUUCUGUUUCCACACACAAAUAGCAAAAAGAAAUUAGAAUGACAACUGGGACAUAUAUAAGAGUGAAAUAAUUAAAAAAAUUAUGCUUUUUUGUCUGUCGUGUUAAAAUCGUAAGUACCGAAGUACUGUGAAAGAGAUUAAUUUACAGAAACUGAAGCCAAGGGUUCAAAAAAAAACUAUUGAUGUAGCUAGGAUGCAAUGUCAUAUUCAUACAGAGAUGAAGUAUAUUAUUUACGGCUGGUAAAGACUAGGAAUUGAUGUAGCUAGAAUCCAAAGAUGAUAAGGUAUGUUGUGCACUAUUGUUUUAUUCUACGGUCAAUCUUGACCCUUGGUGCUUGGCUCUCAAUCUUGUCCAUUGAUCUUCUCUGAUCUUGGAAACUUCAAGACCUUUCACUCUCAUGCCUUAUUAUUGGUGUCUUCCAUGCUGUAGCUUUCAAAUACAAGCUUUCCCGCCAACUUGCCAAUUAUUUGUCCGUUGGUGCAUUUUAUCAAACAGUUUGGAUACUUAUACCAAACGCCUUCUGUUUUAACUCCCCCCCUCAAGCUCAAGCAUCUGGGAAGACAUUAAUAAGCUUGUUUCUCAAGUAUAUAUAUCUGAAAAUUAAAUUUUAUAAAUUAUAUUCGGACUCUACAUUUUCUAAUGAACAUUGGUUUGGCUUAUAAGCUUAUUAUACUCAGGUUUGGUAGGAGCCAUAUCACAAUGUUAACGCUAACCAGCAGUACUGCCAAAGCUGGCCAACUCAGCCUGCAAGUUCAUAGCAACCAUAGUUACAGUCCUAGUCCGGUACAAAAAUCGUAAAUAUCAUUUACAUUACAAUGGUGUGGGGGGGGGGGGGGGGGUUUGUUGGGUGGCUGGAGAGGGAAUCAACAAAGAUCUAGAACGAAGGGUAGGCUUGUAUCCGUAACCCAUGUCACAGUGUUAAUGCUAACCGUGGACCUUAUUAUAUUAGUUGCUGGACUAUUAUUACUUUUGAAUUGCCAUCUUUGAAUUUACGUUCAUUUCUGCCUCGACAAGAUGUUUGUAAAAAUAUGCUAAUUAUUAAUGUGCCGUGUACAAAUAAGCAUGUUACUGUGCAAGGAUUGUAGUCAUGAUACAGUGGUGCAAAAUGUACAUGCUACUUCUUCUUUUCCUCAGUUAGGAUCACCGUCGUCACCAUUUAAUUCUAAGUCCACCCAUGCGGCCUAUGCAAUUGAAAUCAUGUGACCAUGUAAUUUUAGGUUCUGAUCUUCCUUGUGGGGUUAAACCUCAAAACUGUGACCAUUUUGGGACUUUUAAUCAGUUCCAAUCAUUUUCUGGUUCCCAUUCGUCCACCCAAGCCUUGAUUCCCCCGAUAUAGCAUUGCAAUAUAUAUAGGAAUAUUAAGGUUGUGUACAGUUUUUUUCUUUUCUGUUUUUAAUUUGAUAUAAAUUAUCAAUCAUGAAUCUACAUAAAGUUUCAACUAGGCUACUACCACAAUAAACAUUUGGAUGAACUAUUAUUGAAACCUUAUUGAGAAGUAGGACAUGUCGCAUACCAAUGCACUGACAUAUCUUCAAAUAGUGGUAACUCCACACAACAUGGCACAAUAAAUUAAGAGUUAUAUAGAUAAAAUCUUUCACUCUUUGGUAAUCAUCAAUGUCGGCAUGACAAUGCGUCCCACAAAUAUGGCUCCUUAUCAAAAUUCAUAAAUCAAAACAAAAAUAGAGAAUCAUAUUUGUUCUAGAUUGUAGUGAUGGUUGUUGAUGCACUCACAAUUUACAAUUUUAUUUAAUAUCUUCAAAUUCGCAUUUUAAAAUGCCCAAAUGUUUGUGUAUACAUAAUUAGUAAUCGAUUCUCAAGCAUGGCCAUUUAAAAGCAUUGCUGAAAGACAAAAUUUUAAUUUACUAUUUUUUGUCUUUUAAUUUUCUUUAAGUUUUUAAUGAUUCCGCAUUUUAAAAUCCUGUGGAACGUGUAUGUAAAAUUCUUUUAUCUUUUAGAGGAAAAUGGGCAAGAGAAGAAGAUUUGGCAAAGGAAUUGCAACCGCAUUUGGAGCUAGUUUUAAUUUUGUCUUUUAAUUCUUUUACACUUGGCUUUUGUUAUUGAUGUCAACUUCGAUGUGUGUGAAGACUCGAGCUCACUCCCUUAUGAGCUAGUUUUAUUUUUCUACUUUCACAUUAAGAAAAAUACUCCUAUUUUUAAGGAAAAGUCAAGUACCUGUAGUUGUGAAGACUCGAGCUCACUCCCUUAUGAUAAAUCUUCAUAUUAAUUACGUAAAUAUCCUCUAAAAUUUUAAAUUAGCUAUUCAAAAUUUGAUGUUAUACGGGUAUUUCAUUUAUUUGAGUAGGGGUUGGGGGUCAAUUGGAUACAAAUUCAAAAUUAUCCUUACUUGAGAUGGUGAUAAAAAUUGGGGAUUUAAUUUGGAUGUCAUUAGCUACAAAUAUUAAACUCAUACAUUUAAUUCAAAAUUGGAAAGCUGAUAUAUGCGCAUCAUCCCACAACCUCUCCAAUGAAAAAUUAACACGUUUCUUGUGUGCAUUUGAUCAGAAUCCUGAAAAUUAAUCACAAAAUUGUCCUGGAAAAAAAAAUGCUUACAUAAAUGGUUUGAAAAAUCUAGAUUUCAAGUUGUCUAUAUUAGCUUGAUAUUUUUAUAAAUAGUCAUCCUCUCAAAAAAAUUCCAUCAAAAUAUAUUUUAAUUUUAUGUUAAUUCAUAAACAUGAAAAAAUCAUUUCAGAAUUAAUUAAAACAUAAUUUAUUGUUUCUCAAAAAAGGUAGAACUUAGUGAUAAGAAAAAAGUAUCUCAAAUAUAUGUAAAAAAAAAAAAAUCUUGGUUAGUUGGAAUGAUUGAAUUUGUUUUUUUUUUCUUUUUUAAGAAUUAAGACAAUCGGAUUGAUUGAGUAAUAAUAAUAUAUAUUUAUUUGGCAAAUGGCAGGUAGGCUUUCGUCUCAUGCAGAUUGAUUAGAGAGAAAAUAUAACAAUUUUAAGCUCGUCAGAUUCGAAGCUGCUUUCCUGUCGUGUGGGGAUCACUUCCGUGUCUUAUUUUUCUAGAAAAAUCAGGACCAUUGGAUUUAUGCGAAUCGUACUGAACAUUGGAAUUGAUGUAUAAGAAAAAAAUUCUGUAGUUUAAGAAGAACAAAAAGGCAUGUUGAAUAGAUUACAAUAGUUUAAGGAAAAAAAUUAUUCAAUUGGGAAUUUUUUUUUCUUUAAUUUUUGUUGUACUUGAUUGAGAUUUCUCCUUAGUCCUUAGAGUUUUAAGUUUGGAAACCGUAGGAUCAGUAAUUUCGUACUUCCUUUGCAAGCUGAGUAUAAGGAUGAAAUUCUUUUAAGAAAUUAAAAAAGAUAAAAAAAAAGCAUACCAAUAGGUAAUUAUAAAUAACCACAAAUAAAUAUAAACAAAAUGUUUAUGAAGUAAAUUAAACAUGCUCAUAUUAUUUUCUUUUAUUUUCUGCUUGGAAACCCAUAAAUACACUAAUCCAGUAUUACUAAUUUCAGACAGAAAAUUUUGAAUUUAACCAGUAUACACUAAUCCAGUAUUAUUUUUAUUAUUAUUUUAAUUUGUUUAUAAAUUACUAUUUUAAUUUGUUUAUAAAUUACUAUUUUAAUUUUCACUUUUUAUUGGGUUGUUUAACGGAUUAGUGAAGCUGGUGGUCGUUGAUGCACUCACAAGGUACAAUUUUAUUUUAGAAUUUCAAAUUCGUAAUUUAAAAUGCAGGCACAUUAUGUAUACAUAAUUAUUGAUUUUCAUAUGUGGGUGUUUUGAAAUAUUGCCAAAAGACCAAACUUUAAUAAACUAUUUUUGAUCUUUUUUUUUCCUUUGUACCUAAAGUUUGAGUGAUAUCCGCAUUUUAAAUUCAUGUGGACCAAAAGCUAAUGUAUGCACAAAAUUCUUUUAAUUUUUUCCGAGAAAAAUGGGUAAGAGAAGAAGAUUUUUCUCUUGAAAAAGAAAAAAUAAUACGUUGCAAGCAUAGGAAAGAGGCCAGUGUUUUGGAUUUGAAUUUAGUAUUGGGUUGAAUUUUAUGCUAAGCUCUUUUAUAAUACUUUAUAGAAUAAAAAUGUAAGGGAUAUUUGGCUAGGCAUGUACUUUAUAGAAUAAAAAUGUAAUAAUGUAAGUCAGUGCAAUGAUCUGCUGUCAUAGUAGUUAUAAAUAUUUAUGUGUAAUACAGUAACAUGAUGCUUAAUCAGUUAAAAAAAAAUUGUAUAUCUUUUUUUAUUUUUUUUAUUGUGAUCAAUAUAACUAGUCAAAUUUAUUUUUAAAUAUUUUUUUAAAAAUAUUUUUAUCGUGUGUUUGCUCCAUUACAGGGUUUCUUCAAUUUAAAAUAGAGAAUCAUUUGUGUUCUAGAUUAAUCGUGGGUCUAUAUCCAAAUCCAAAAAUUGACUAACUUGAUUUCUAUUAAGUUCUCAACCCUAACAAGAAAAAUAAAAGAGUAAAAAUGACUAUUUUGGUUUCUAUUAAUUUGAGUAACGCUUAAUAUUUAUCAUACAAUAGUCACUUAUAUUAUCAAAAUCUUGGGUCGAAAAUAUUAGGAUAGGUGAUAAUUGGAAUUAAGUUGUAGAUAAGAUAGCCUUUCAAAAAAAAGAAAAGAAAAAAAGUUGUAGAUAAGAUAGAAAUGGAUUUGGAGAGAGAUUGGAAUCCUGGCUAAUCCGGUGCACGUUGUUGCGUUAAAUUCUCGUUGACUUCACGUUGACCGAAGCAUUAUUGGAAGAAACAAGCAAGCUUAUUUUCUUCUCUCAUUUUUUACUUUUGUCUAAAUUUAUUGAUGUGAGCCCUCUGAGAUGGUAAAGUGUUAAAUCUGAGAAGAGUACCCACACACCCAUUUGUUGGAGGAUUAACAAUUAAAACACACUAUUUUAUUUCUUCAACAACACUCCUCACCAAUUACAACUCUUAUUUUUCACUCUCUACACCUUAGAGAUUUUGCUGCUUCACUUGAUGUUUAAACCAAAAGGGAGAGGGGGUAUUUAUAUAUGAAACAAACUAAUCACAACCAUUCAUUUAUUCAACUAAUAAACACAUCCUCACCAUCCAUUAAAACCUACCACUCACCUACUUCACCAACCACACCUAACACACCUAACACAAAUAAUUCAAACCUCACCAACCAUACCUACUCAUGGAACCUUCCAUGAGUUGGGCUUGAUUUAUUCAUCUUGGAUCAAGUUUAUGAUCCAACACCUCUCCUUAAACUUGAUCCUGUGACACCAAGCAAACUUCUGAAUCUUACAAAGUCUUCUUGUUUGAGUGGUUUAGUGAAGAUAUCAGCUGCUUGAUCUUGUGAUUUUACAUACUUGAUUUGCACUUCUUUUCUUGCAAUACACUCUCUUAUGAAAUGAUAGCGAGUGGCUAUGUGUUUACUUCGAUCAUGAAAGACUGGAUUCUUGGAUAGGGCAAUUGCUGAUUUGUUAUCAACACAAAUCUCAGUUGGCUCUUCUUGUGCCAAACUCAACUCCUUUAGCAAAUUUCUGAGCCAAAUUGCAUGACAAACACUUGAUGUGGCAGCUACAUAUUCAGCUUCACAGGUGGAUAGCGUGACAAUUGGUUGCUUCUUUGACAUCCAUGUGAAAGCAGUAUCUCCUAUGAAGAACACAAAUCCUGUGGUGUUAUUUCGAUCAUCUACAUCUCCACCCCAAUCGCUAUCGCUAUAUCCAACAAGCUUGUAGUCAUUAGAAAAUGAGUAUAGCAAGCCGAAAUUAGUUGUACCUUUGAUGUAGCGAAGGAUUCUUUUUGCAGCUUUAAAAUGGGUGGUCUUUGGAUUCUCCAUGUAUCGGCUCACAAGUCCAACAACAUAAAGGAUAUCUGGUCUUGUGCAUGUCAAAUAACGUAGGCUUCCAACCAAACUUUUAAAGAAUGUUGGAUCUAUAUCUUCGCCUUCAUCAUGUUUGGAUAACUUGACUCCGCAUUCCACUGGCGUGCUUAUAGGCUUACAAUCAUUCAUCUUGAACUUCUUGAGAAUCUCCUCUGCAUAGCUUUCUUGGGAGAUAAAUAUGCUUUCUUCCUUUUGCUUGACUUCAAUGCCGAGGUAAUAUGCCAUCAGUCCGAUGUCAGUCAUCUCGAACUCUUUGAUCAUCACUCUCUUGAACUCUUCAAACAAGCCUGGAUUACUUCCAGUGAAAAUGAGAUCAUCCACAUACAGGCACACAAUCAAAAUAUCUCCAUAUUUUUCUUUGACGUAGAGAGCAUGUUCAUAUGGGCAUUUGGUGAAGCCUUUCUCUUGAAAAUACUUGUCAAUUCUGCUAUUCCAUGCCCUUGGUGCUUGCUUUAACCCAUAAAGAGCUUUCUUCAAUCUCAAAACUUUGUCCUCGUGUCCUUUCACCACAUAGCCUAAUGGUUGUUCGAUGUAAACUUCUUCUUCAAGGAAUCCAUUCAAGAAAGCAGACUUCACAUCCAUUUGAAAAAUCUUCCAUUUGUUCUGAGCAGCCAAAGAAAUAAUAAGUCUAAUAGUUUUAAGUCGAGCUACAGGAGCAAAUACCUCGUCAUAGUCUAUGCCAGCCUUUUGACUAUAGCCUUUUGCAACUAGCCUCGCCUUGUGCCUUUCAAUUUCUCCCUUCGCAUUUCUUUUUGUUUUAUACACCCAUUUGACACCGAUCGCCUUGUGACCUUUUGGAAGAGUAGUAAGCUCCCAAGUAUCAUUCUUCACAAUGGCUUUGAUUUCUUCAUCCAUUGCAAUUCUCCACUUCUCAUCUAGUGCAGCUUCUUGGAAGUUGACUGGCUCACAAUCAGCAAAGAGGCAAAAGAGAGUGAGAUUAUCAUGUCUCUCAGUUACCUCAUAGAGAUCUUGAAGACUCCUUGCACGUUCUUCGGUUCUUUCAUUUAAGAAAGACGGCGGUGAAUCUCCGCAUGUGGUUGGUGCUGGUGAGAUAGGUGGAGUGGCAGGCUCUUGUUGUUCGUCUACUUGUUUUACCUGUGUAUGAUCAUCUUCUUCAAUGGGAAAGAAGUUGAAGUCAUCCACACCAGAGCCAAAAUCUCAUUCUCCUUCUUCAUCAAAAAUUACAUCUCGACUGAUCACAAUCUUUCCGUUGUUUGGAUUGUAAAGCUUGUAUCCUUUGGAGUUGUUGUCGUAGCCGAUGAAGAUGAACAACUCACUUUUGUCAUCCAGCUUGGCUCUACUUUCGUCUGGUACAUGUACAUGGGCAAUGCUUCCGAAAACUCUUAGAUGGGUGAUGCCAGGUUUUCUUCCACUCCAAGCUUCUUGUGGCGUCUUGCCCCACACGCUUCUUGUUGGAGAUCGAUUGGAUAAGUAGAUUGCACAUGCAACUGCUUCAGCCCAAAAUUCUUUAGGUAGCCUCUUACUCUUAAGCAUGCUUCUUGCCAUGUCGAGGAUGGUUCUGUUCUUCCUUUCUGCAACACCAUUUUGUUGGGGGGAUCUUGGAACUGUCAAAGGGCGUCGAAUUCCAUUUGCUUCACAAAACUCUAAAAAUUCUUUGGAAGUGAACUCUCCACCUCGAUCAGAUCUCAUGGCUUUAAUCUGGUAUCCACUUUCUUUUUCAACUGCAGCUUUAAACUUCUUGAAAGCUUCAAAGACUUCUGAUUUUUGCUUCAAAAAAUACACCCAAGUUUUUCUUGAAAAAUCAUCUAUAAAAAGAAUGAAGUAGUUACUUUUACCAAGGGAGUUUGGCUUGAAUGGACCGCACACAUCAGUAUGAAUGAGCUCGAGUGGCUUCUGAGCUCUUGAGUUUGACUCCUUUGGAAAGCUCUUUCUGAACUGCUUGCCAAGUAAACAUCCUUCACAAAGUUGAUCAGGGUGAUUGAUGUAUGGUAAGCCUUUCACCAUGUUCUUCUUAGAGAGUAGCUCCAGUCCUCUAAAGUUGAGAUGCUCAUAUCGAAGAUGCCAAGUCCAGGAUUGAUCUUUGUGACAGGCUUUGAGACAUUUUGCAACAUCAUUUUGAAUAUUUAAAGGAAACAUUCUAUUCUUUGACAUUCUCACUUUUGUAUUUAGAUUUCCUUUUUCAUCUCUUAGAAAAAGACUAUAAUCUUUUAAGUGAAUAUCAUAGCCCUUUUUCUAAAAGUUGACCUAAACUAAGAAUGUUGCUUUUCAUAUUGGACACAUAGUAAACAUUCGAAAUUAUUUGGUGGCUACCAUCUUUUGCACGAAAAAGAAUGUUACCUCUACCCUUCACUGGUACUUUUGAAUCAUCUCCAAAAGUGACACUGCCAUUCACAAAUUCACUUAGUUGCACGAACAUGCUUCUGUUUCCACUCAUAUGAUUGCUAGCACCUGUGUCAAGAUACCAUGUAUUUUCUUGACCUCCAUUUGUGUCAUUGCGUGCUAGUAAAAGUGUGUCAUCUUCACCAUUUUUCUCUUCAGCAUAGUUCACUCUCUCUUUAAUUCUGGUGCUUGGAGCUCUGCAUUCUGAAGCAUAAUGCCCAAACUUUUGACAAUUAUAGCACUGUACUUGGGAUUUGUCAUACCUCGAUCUUGAAUUGCCUCUGCCUUGUUCUCUGGUUGAGCUUUCUCCUUUGGCAUAAUUGGAGUUGUUGUUGUUGAAAUUCCAACCUCGUCCAUGACCACGACCUCUACCUCGUCCUCGACCUCUACCUCGGACAUAGUGCCUUCUCUCAUUGUCGGAGCUUUCUUCUCUUUUCUUUGGAUUGACUUCCAUCUUGAGAAGUUGUUCUUCGAUUCCUUGCUUCUUUUUUUGUUUUUCUUCAUAGGCUUGCAACCUUCCUUGAAGUUGCUCGAUCGUCAUAUCCUCCAGAUCUCUUGUUUCUUCAAUUGUCAUAACAAUAUGAUCAAACUUCGAGUCUACUGAUCGAAGUAUCUUUUCAAUGAUCCUUACCUCUUUUAACUCCUCGCCAUUUCUUUUUAAUUCAUUGGAAACGGUCACAACUCGAGUAAAGUAGUCAGAAAUUGACUCCGACACCUUCAUGUGUAAGGACUCAAAUUCUCCUCGUAAUGUUUGGAGACGAACCUUCUUAACUUGCUCUGCUCCUUUGUAAGAGGUCUUUAGUUUCUCCCAUGCUUCUUUUGAGGAGGUUGUACCAGCAAUCUUUUCAAAAGCAUCUUCAUCUAAUGAUUGAAAGAUGAGAUACUUUGCUUUAUUCUCUUUCUUCUUCAAGUCUUUUAAAUUCUCCUUCUGCGCCGCAGUUAAAGUGGCUUCAUUUUCUGGCACAAUAAAGCCUUUCUCCACGACAUCCCAUACGUCAUGUGCACUCAAUAGAGCCUUCAUUUUAAUACUCCAAUUGUCAAACUUACUUCCUUUUAAUUGUGGAACUUGAAAUGACAUCAUCAUACCACCGUUUGCCAUAACUCACAAAUUGAGUGAGAAUUUGGAGAUUCUGAAUGCACAGAUGGAUCCGGCACGUCGAAAAACCUUGGGAAGGACUCGAGUCAACUUUCGGUCAACGGUCAACGUCGGUCAACGGUCAACACCGGCUUGGUAGUCUCGGUUCGGUCCGGAUUGGUUCAGCUCGAGUUGGCUCGGUUCGACUUGAUUCGGUUCAGCUCGGCUCGGCUUGGUUCAGUUCGGCUCAGCUUGGUUCAACUCGGUGAGUCGACUCAGCUUCAGGACAUAAAACUUCCGGCGGCAGGUGUGGGCGCGUACGGUCUCGGAUCGGGAUGAUUUUUGCGGCGUCACGUUCCUCUCGUCGAGAUCUUCGAUUUGAUAUGCUAUAUGACUAUAUAUAGCAUCAAACACUAGCUCUGAUACCACUUUGUUGGAGGAUUAACAAUUAAAACACACAAAAAACACACUAUUUUAUUUCUUCAACAACACUCCUCACCAAUUACAACUCUUAUUUUUCACUCUCUACACCUUAGAGAUUUUGCUGCUUCACUUGAUGUUUAAACCAAAGGGGAGAGGGGGUAUUUAUACAUGAAACAAACUAAUCACAACCAUUAAUUUAUUCAACUAAUAAACACAUCCUCACCAUCCAUUAAAACCUACUACUCACCUACUUCACCAACCACACCUAACACACCUAACACAAAUAAUUCAAACCUCACCAACCAUACCUACUCAUGGAACCUUCCAUGAGUUGGGCUUGAUUUAUUCAUCUUGGAUCAAGUUUAUGAUCCAACACCAUUAUCCUAUUACUCUUAUUUUAUCACAUGCAGAGACGUCAACGUUUGAUUCGCACGGAAAAAAAUUUGCGAGGAUUGUGAGGGUUGAUUCAAUAUAAUUUAGAUGCAAAGUGUUUACAAGUGCGAUGCUUCGUAAGUGCACCCGAAUCAUUAUAAACUCACCUUAUUUUCAUAGUGAUUAUUUCAUCUGCAUGUGAAUAUAAUCAUAUGUGGAGAUUUUUUUUUUCCCUAAACGAUGAUCUUCUCUAGUAUUGAGGUGUUAUAUCUUUUAAAUUAUAAUUAUUAUUAGUAAAAAACUGCAACUAUGAAAAAUAAAUUUAAUAUUAUGUCCUGAAUAUAAUUGUUAAAUAAUAAUUUUGACAAAAUUAAUGAAUAUAUACAGAUUUUUUUAUCAUAUAAAUGUAAAAUUAUAUCAACUUAGCUUCUAAGCUAUACAACGGUUACUAUUUACUAAAUACUUUAGUGUCGUAGUUUUUAAGAUAUAUUUAUCCACCCUCAAUCCCAAACAUAACCUGUAAGGAUAAAAAAUUUCAUCCUAAAAAUUAUACGUCUUGUGACUUAUUUAAUUUAUAUUUUUGUUAUUUAUAUUUAUUAAUUAUAGUCAUCUUUUAAUAAAUUACAAUUGAAGGAAGGUGGUUGAUGUUGUCGAGACACACACACAAAGAUAUAUUGGAAGUGCUUAUGUCCACUCGAAGUUGUGGGGAGUUAAUGCAUGUAUUGAUUUAUUGGGAGUGUUAAUGCAUGUAUUGAUUGAUUGAGUGAUUGAAUACUGUUUGAUUGCUUCAUAUCAAUUCUAGAAAGUUUAUUUCUUUGUGAAAUUUCAACGAAACGUGUUUUUUAGAAUAAUAAGGGUGUUUUAAGUAAUUUUAAAAAAUGAAUGGACUAAUUAGAAUUAAUUAUUAGGUAAUUAACUCGAAUUGUAGAGGGUAAGCAAACAUUUAUCCUAAUUAUAUUAUGAUAAAUCCUUUUCCAAUUAGAAUUAGGAAACCAUAGAUAUACUGAAUUUUUUUUUAUUUCCCUUCGCGAAAACGGAUCAGAGAAUUAGAAAACAAUCCUAGUGAUACUAUUGUUAGGUUUAAAACACUGCAUAGAUGGUAAAAACAUUGGAAUUGAUGUAGAUUAAUUUGUUAAUUGCUAUCGUACUGAACAUUGUUUUAUGCAAAUUAAUUUGAGAAUUAGAAAAAAGUUUGUUGCAUGCAAACUUUUUGUUUUAUGCAAAUCGUACUGAACAUUGGGACUGAUGUUUAAGAAAAAAAUUCUGUAGUUAAAGAAAAACAAAAAGGCAUGUUGAAUAGAUUACGAUAGUUUAUUCAAUUGGGAAUUUUUUUUCUUUAAUUUUUGUUGUACUUGAUUGAGAUUUCUCUUUAGUCCUUUCGUACUUCCUUUGUAAGCUGAGUAUAAGGAUGAAAUUCUUUUAAGAAAUUAAAAAAGAAAAAAAAGCAUGCCACUACGCAAUUAUAAAUAACCACAAAUAAAUAUAAACAAAAUGUUUAUGAAGUAAAUUAAACAUGCACAUAUUAUUUUCUUUUAUUUGCUGCUUGGAAACCCAUAAAUGCACUAAUCCAAUAUUACAAUUAAUUUCAAACAGAAAAAAUUGAACUCUAGGCUGCAGUUUGACUCAAAAUGAUGACCACUGGCUUCGCACCAUUCAACCGGUAUACAUUUCUACAAACCGAACAACGCUAUUGAUUUUUAUUUUUUUUUUUAAUUUGUCUAUAAAUUACUAUUUUAAUUUUCACUUUUUAUUGGGUUGUUUAACGGAUUAGUGAAGCUGGUGGUCGUUGAUGCACUCAUAAGGUACAAUUUUAUUUUAGAAUUUCAAAUUCGUAUUUUAAAAUGCAGGCACAUUAUGUAUACAUAAUUAUUGAUUUUCAUAUGUGGGUGUUUUGAAAUAUUGCCAAAAGACCAAACUUUAAUAAACUAUUUUUGAUUUUUUUUUUCCUUUUUACCUAAAGUUGGAGUGAUAUCCGCAUUUUAAAUUCAUGUGGAACAAAGCUAAUGUAAGCACAAAAUUCUUUUAUUUUUUCCGAGAAAAAUGGGUAAGAGAAGAAGAUUUUUCUCUUGAAAAAUGAAAAAAAAUACAAUGCAAGCAUAGGAAAGAGGUCAGUGUUUUGGAUUUGAAUUUAGUAUUGAGCUGAAUUUUAUGCUAAGCUCUUUUAUAGUACUGCGAUUAAUAAGCUAGCUCAGGAUUUGCUUUUGCUUUUACUUCAAGUAAAAGAAAGAGGAAGCCUUUUGUUUUUUUGUUUGAUUUUUGACUAUAUAUGUUACCUAUAUAGAGAGUUGAGGUAGCAGCCUUAAGUGAUGGUGAUAAAAAGAUUAAGCAGUGCACACAAUCUUACUGUCAUCCAGACCAUCCAGUGAUGGCUCUAGUUUUUUUGUUACGUUAGCUUUAGUGGAAAGAAGGGCCAAUUUAACAAAGACUAGAUUUGGUGGCUUACUAUGUUUAAUGUAAUGCUUAUUCUCAGCGCACACAAUCUUACUAUGUUUAAUGUAAUGGUUAUGUUGAAUGAUCUUCUAUGAUUGUGAGUAGUAUAGUAUAAUUGAAAAGGGCCUGGGCUCCUAUGAUGAAUAACAGUAACACAUUACUGUGAUUGAGAAAACUCAGUUCCAAUAAACUCUUCAUUUACUCAUUGCGGAGAUCGAAUGGCAAACAGAGAAUAGAAUGAAGCAGAAGAAUCUCAUUGUUAGGUUUUGAUGAUUUCAGAUGCUUUUUUUUUAAAAAAAAAUUGUGACAUCUUUGAUUUACGGCAGUUUUGCAGAAAAAAAAAACAUAUAAAAAUUAAGAGGGAUGAGUUAACUGACGAUUACAAUCAUUACAGCAAUGCUGAUGAGUGAUAUAUCACUUGAAAUUUACUUGUCAGUUGCUGAAAUGAUGAAAAAAAACCAACAAACGAUAACAGUAAUAAUGUUCCCUUGCUGAAAUUCAAUUUUGACUUUCGACUCUUGGCUUUUAUGGAGAGUAAAAUGACUUGUAUAUUAUACUCAUACAAUCCACUCUACAUAAUGAUAUCGUUUUAAUAAGGCAAUGGCUGAUGAUCUCCAUUUAAAAACUACAUCAAUUUUUUUGCUUCAUUUAACUUUUUGGUUGUUGAAAAUAACCUUAAUUAUCAAAUAAUUGGAGAAAGAGUUAAGAACAUUUAACAAAUUUAUGUGCAAAAAAAAAAAAAAAAGGAAGAAGUUGAAGAGAAAGGGUGCUUGCAGAAGUGGGUGUCAAAGAUAAAUCGGUCCAUAAGAAUUAUUGUGGUUAUUUUUUGGCAAUAUAAAAAUUUUUUAGCAAGUAAAAAUAAUUUUUUUUCCGAUUUACUAAAAAAUUAACUAAAAACUUCUGCGAUGUCAUUUUUUAUGGGUGCAUAUACCCUCCCUUUAAAAAAUUUAUAAUAAUUACUGCUUAAUAUAGUAUUAAAUACGAAAAAUAUCAAUAUUUGACUACUCAAAUUUAUAUCAUUAGGUCCUUAAAAUUUAAAAUGGAAGAUAUGAAAGGAAAUAUAUAUAAAUUUCAUUGUCCUGGGAAAGGACCCUCUUAUUAUCUUAUAAUAUUUGAAAUUUGAUAGAUUUUUUGAAACAAAUGUACUUUUAUUUGUGUACAAUCAAUAUUUACUCAUUUAUUAUAUUUUAAUUUAUUAACUAUCAAUCAUGUAAGUAUACUUAGUCAAAAAAAUUAUAUCAAGAGAGAAUUCUAAUUUCACGCAAAAACAAAUACCAAAACAAAUAUCUCAAUUUCUAUACUAUUCACUUUCCUGUAGAAUCAAUUAUUUAAAAUGCAAGUUUGUGGCUACAGAAAACUCGCCAAAGAAAGAAGAUAAUAACAAUUGAGCAUUGAUGGCAAAACUAAUGCAUCCAAUUCUUCUUGACUUGAUGAGAUGGCGCCAUAACGUAGAAACAAGUACCUAAAUUGACCGGCACUGAGUGGUGUGAAUACUACCAGCCAGUUCAUCUCUUCCAGUCUUGCUUAAUCACAAUCACAAACACCACGAGAUCGACAUUUGCAUUAUAUAUAUCUUCUGCAAUCGAAACACCUUGCAUUACCAAAUAAGCCCGUAACAGACAAAGCAAUCUUUCAUGGAGAGAAACCUUAGUCUCAGUAUGAUCACUGUGUCAUUAACGUACUGCCUGCUUCUUUGCUUGGUUGCUGCAGCAGCAGCAGCGGCAAGCAACAAUAUUACCACAGACCAACAAGCUCUUCUUGCCCUGAAAGAUCAUAUAAUUUAUGAUCCGACCAGCCUUUUAGCUCACAAUUGGACCUCGAAUACCUCUGUUUGUACCUGGAUUGGCAUCACUUGUGAUGCCAAUAGCCAUAGAGUCACAACCUUAGAUAUUUCUCAAUUCAAUCUACAAGGCACCAUCCCUCCUCAACUUGGGAACCUCUCUUCACUCACAACACUUAAUCUUAGUCAUAACAAGCUUUCUGGAAACGUUCCCUCCUCCAUCUACACCAUGCAUACGCUAGAAUUUCUUGACUUCACUGAUAACCAGCUCUCUGGUUCAGUGACUUCCUUCGUCUUGAACAUGUCUUCAAUAUUAGACAUUCGUUUGACCAAUAACAGACUUUCUGGUGAGCUUCCGAAAAAUAUUUAGAGCUAUCUUCCUCAUUUGAAAGCCCUUUUUUUGGACAAAAACAUGUUUCAUAGCAAACUUCCUUCUGCUUUAUCAAAGUGCAAACAACUGCAACAAUUAAAUUUGAAGUUCAAUAAUUUAUCCGGUGCAAUACCAAAAGAAAUCGGCAACUUGACUAUGCUCAAAGGGAUAGACCUCGGCUACAACAAACUCCACGGUAUGUUCAUAAUACUAUACAAAUAUUAUCUUUCUUGAAUACUUUAGAUAAGAUCUUGUAUGUGAGAUUUUUUUGCAUCUAUAUUAAUUUUCCAGGUGAGAUACCGCACGAAAUCGCUAAUCUUCCAAAUCUAGAGGCUUUAGCGCUUGGAAUGAACAACCUAGUUGGUGUGUUACCAGCUCCAAUCUUCAACAUGUCAACACUGAAUGUACUUAUCCUCAUAAAUAACUCUCUCUCCGGUAGUCUUCCAUCAAGAAUGGACCUUUCACUUCCAACUAUUGAGCAUCUUAACUUUGCACUUAAUAGAUUUUCUGGAACAAUUCCUAGUUCCAUAACCAAUGCUUCUAAGCUCACAUUUCUAGAGUUGGGAGGAAACACAUUUUCGGGCUUUAUUCCAAACACAAUUGGUAAUUUAAGAAACCUUGAGUUGUUCGGCUUGGUUUUUAACUACUUGACAUCUUCGAGCUCAAAAUUGAGCUUUCUUUCCUCUUUGGCAAAUUGCAAGAAAUUAAGAGUCAUAGGCUUAACAGGCAAUCCACUCAACGGCAUCCUUCCAAGUUCAGUAGGUAAUCUUUCUAUGUCUUUGAAAACACUUCACAUCGCCAAUUGCAGUAUUAGUGGCAACAUUCCUCCAGCAAUUAGCAAUUUAAGCAACUUGUUGGCCUUAGUAUUAGAAGGCAAUAAAUUGACUGGACCAAUCCCAACUACAUUCGGCCAACUACAGAAACUCCAAGGCUUAGAUCUCGCAUUCAAUAAGUUGGUAGGUUCAUUCCCAGAUGAGCUUUGCCAUCUAGCUAGGCUGGAUGAAUUGGUCUUAUUUGGCAAUAAGCUUUCAGGAUCUAUACCUUCAUGCUUAAGUAACCUCACUUCUCUGAGAUCUCUCCACUUAGGGUCCAAUAGGUUUACUUAUGUCAUUCCCUCAACUUUCUGGAGCCUAAAAGACAUCUUGUUCUUUGACUUUUCAUCAAAUUUCUUGGUUGGUCCUCUUUCUUUAGACAUAGGAAAUUUGAAGGUGCUUCUAGGAAUAAAUUUAUCAGAAAAUAACUUAUCGGGUGAUAUGCCAGCCACAAUUGGAGGACUAAAAAACCUUCAAAUUAUGGACCUAACAUAUAAUAGACUGGAAGGGCAAAUUCCUGAAUCAUUUGGUGACUUGACAAGUUUGGAGGUUUUGAAUUUGUCAAAUAAUAAAAUCUCUGGGUCUAUUCCAAAAUCCAUGGAGAAACUCUUUUACCUUCGAGAGUUAAAUCUCUCUUUCAAUGAACUAGAAGGUGAGAUUCCUAGUGGAGAAAUUUUUACCAACUUCACAGUUGAGUCAUUUAUGGGAAAUGAGUUAUUGUGUGGUUUACCAAAUCUUCAAGUCCAACCAUGCAAACUUAGCAAGCCAAGGACAGAACAUAAAUCAAGGAAAAAGAUACUUCUCAUUGUGAUUGUUUUGCCAUUGAGUAUUGCUCUAACAAUAGCAAUCACUCUACCUCUCAAAUCUAAGCUGACCAAAUGUGGAAAAAGAUGCACAGUGUUGUCAAAUGAUAGUGUCUUGUCAUCACAAGCAACACUAAGAAGAUUUUCAUACUUAGAACUUUUACAAGCAACAGAUAAUUUUGCUGAAAACAACGUAAUUGGCAUAGGUGGUUUUGGUUCUGUUUAUAGAGCAAGACUUGAAGAUGGGAUGAAGAUUGCAAUAAAAGUGUUUCACCAGCAAUGUGCAAGCGCAUUGAAGAGUUUUGAGGCUGAAUGUGAAGUGUUAAAAAAUAUUCGCCAUCGAAAUCUUAUCAAAGUUAUCAGCAGUUAUUCAAACAAUGACUUCAAAGCAUUAGUCCUAGAAUACAUGUCCAACAGGAGCUUGGGGGAUUGGUUGCAUUCCAGCAAUUAUAUGCUGAAUAUAUUUCAAAGGUUGAACAUAAUGAUUGACGUUGCAUCAGCUUUGGAAUAUCUCCACUUCGAUCAUUUACCUCCUAUUAUUCAUUGUGACUUAAAGCCUAGUAAUGUAUUGUUGGAUGAAAAUAUGGUUGCUCAUUUGAGUGAUUUUGGCAUAGCAAAGCUUUUAAUUGGGGAGGAUGUGUAUGUCAUGCGAACAAAAACCCUUGCCACUAUAGGUUACAUCGCACCAGGUUUGCUUCAAACAACUUUUUUUUAGUUCAUUUUAAAUUUUCUAAAUCAUUGAUUUUUACGAUCCUCAUAUCAAAUUGUUAUUGAUUAUUUAUCUAAUUGUGAAAUUAAUUUGAUUCAUAGAGUAUGGCAUAGAAGGAGAAAUAUCUACAAAAAGUGAUGUUUACAGCUAUGGGAUUAUGUCGAUGGAAACUUUUACCAAGAAAAAACCCACAGAUGAAAUUUUUGUUGGAGAAUUGAGCUUAAAGCGUUGGGUUGAUGACUUGCUUCCUGAUUCAUUAGUGGAAGUUGUGGACAAAACUCUAGUAAGUGGAGAGGAAAAACAUUUUGCCGCAAAGGAGCAAUGUCUGUUGUCUAUCUUUAGUUUGGCUCUGGAGUGUACAAUGGAAUCACUGAAAAAGAGGAUCAAUGCAAAAGAUAUUGUUACCAGAUUACUCAAGAUAAGAGACACAUUGAGUAAAAGGAUAGGAAAUUUAAGUUAAUAUCGUUUGCUUUCAUUGAUAGUUAUUUUGAAUUCAUGUAAUAAGUGUACGAACCUUAUAUCUUUUCCUUUGAUAUUUUUUUCCUUGAGAAAACUAUUGUAGUCAUCUUAUUUCCAUGGGCAGAGUUGAUUUAGUUCUUCCAAGAAAUGCUACUGAUGACCUUUGUUUUAUACUUUCUCUUUUUUUGCAUGUGUUUAGGUAGAACAGUGGUUUGGCUGCAGGCUAAGAAGACUAACUACACUAAAAGAAUAUGAUUUAAUUUAUUAAACAAAACUUCAAGAAAAGUAUUUCACUGCCCCCAAUGCUUUGGACACCUACUGGUGGGUUUGUACGUGUCCUCAACUUUUUUUUGGAGCACAAAAUUCGAGUCCCAUGGAGACUCAAACAUUCCUUUCCCACAUCUCGAGCACGCUAAAUUUAUCAGACUGACAACUGGGACAUAUACAAGAGUGAAAUGUUUAGAGCACUCUAAGUUCGAGUGAAAGAGAUUAAUUUACAGAAAAUAAAGCCAAGGGUUCAGAAAAAAGUGCAAAGAGAAUAAAGGAACGUCUGAGCUAUUUAAAGCUUCAUGGAAAGUUGAAGGCUCUCCAUAUUUUGUUAGAAGAUAGUAUGCAACAUUGAUCUCUGUGACAUACUCCGAGUGCCACGUUGGCGGUCGUCUCUCACGAGUUGACCGACGAAUUUCUUGAGCCUCGGACUCGACUAGUUCUUGUUCCUCGUGCUCUGGUGCUGCUUCAGAAGAAUUUGAAUCUUUUGAAUUAUUUUUCACAUAUACCGGUACAGUCUCUGACUUUUCUUUUACAGUGCUAUCAUCCUCAUCUUUCCUUUGCAAUUGAUCUUCUAUAAAAAUAACAUCUCUGCUGAUGACGAUCUUGUGGGCAGUGGGAUCCCACAGACGAUACCCUUUUACUCCAUCAGCAUAUCCCAAGAAGAUACAUCUUCUAGAUUUUGCAUCCAGUUUUGUUUUUUCUUGAGCAUUGUACAUCACGUACACAGGACAUCCAAAUGUAUGUAGGUAGGAAUAAUCAGCUGGCUUUCCAGUCUAUAUCUCCAUCGCUGUCUUCAGCCCAAUUACUGUAGAUGGUGAUCGAUUUACUAUAUAACAGGCAGUUUUGGCUGCUUCUACCCAAAAUGAAUUGGGUAGACCAGCAGUCCUCAACAUAGCUCUUAUCCGUUCUGUAAUAGUUCUAUUCAUCCGCUCUGCCACUCUAUUUUGUUGAGGAGUGUAUGCCACCGUGAACUGUCUCUGAAUACCUUCUUGCUUACAGAAAACAAGAAACUCGCCGUCUAUAUACUCUCCACCAUUAUCUGUCCUCAAGCACUUGAUCUUUUUACCAGAUUCAAGUUCUACCGUGCUUUUAAACACUGGAAAUACAUCUGACUUUUUCUUAAUUGGAUACACCCAACAUCUUCUGGAAUAAUCAUUAAUGAAAGUCACCAUGUACUUUGCACCUCCCAUGGAUAUAUCCGGUGAUUCCCAAAUAUCAAAAUGAAUCAAGUCUAUAAUGCAUUUACUUCUAGCAAUAGAUCUACUGAAUUUUAAUUUAUGCUGCUUACUUGUAACACAAUGCUCGCAAAAUGGUAAACUUACCGAUUUGAGCCCCGGAAGCAAUUUUCGCUCAAAGAGAAUCUUCAAUCCUUGUUCUGACAUGUGGCCAAGUUUGAGAUGCCACAUCAUCGUUGACUCUUCUCCAUUUGACGCGACACAUGCAUCAGCCUCUUGUAGUGUUUCUCCUUUAAGCAUGAAUAAAUUAGCACCGAUCUUUUCUGCCUUCAUCAAUACAAACGCACCUUUAACGAUCUUCAUAAUUCCAUUCUCCACAUGAGUUUUGUACCCAUGACUAUCCAUUUGUCCCAAAGGUAAAAGAUUUUUCUUCAGGCCGUUGACAUGUCGUACCUCCCUAAUUGUGCGAAUUGUACCAUCAAACAUUUUUAUUUUGAUAGUACCAAUACCAACGAUCUCCAAGGCAUGAUCAUUACCCAUAUAUACAGAUCCUCCUGAGAUAGGUUCAUAUGUGUGGAACCAUUCUCUCCGAGAGGUCAUGUGUCAGGUAGCUCCUGAGUCUAUAAGUCAGACAUCAGAUAGUCGUUUUCUGCCUUCUAAAACAGUUGUUGCCUCGCUGUAGAGAAUUUCGCCAUCAUCCGAGGUACUUACGACACAACCCUGAGCAUUUGAUGACUUAGGUUCUUUGCCCACUCUUGUCUUCUAAUUACUCCAACACUCUUUCUUGACGUGCCCUUUCUUGCCACAGUUGUAGCAUUUAACAUUCUUCUUACUUCUAGAUUUUGAUCUACCAUGAUUUUGACUCCCAUUGGGGCCACGUUCCGUUGAUCUCCCUCUCGUCACCGAUAGCGCCUCCGCUUGCUGCGAACUUGCUUGUCUGUUUUUCUUAUUUUUUCGUCUGCUUUCCUCAUUUAAUACAGAGGCUGCAACAUCGUCGAAAACUAGACUGUCCACUGGAUUGCUGUUCGUUAGGUUGAUGAUGAGUUGAUCAUACGAAUCUGGUAGACUUUGAAGUAGAAGCUCUGCACGUUCAUUCUCCUCUAUAUUAUGACCCAACGUUGUAAGUUGUGAAAAUAGAGUCUUCAAGGUGUUGAUGUGAUCGGUUACCAUUAUAGAUUCCGCCAUUUGAAGAGUAUAAAGUUUCCUCUUCAAGAAGAUUUUGUUGUGUAGUGACUUGGCCUCGUACAAUUUUGUGAGAGUAUCCUAAAUUUCCUUCGCUGUAUUUUUCUUUGCCACACUGGAUAAUACUCCGUCUGCAAGUGCCAAGUGUAGAUCAGAAAUGGCAUUGCCAUCUAUCUCGUUCCACUUGUCAUCAGUUAUCUCCAUGGGCCUUUCUCCAAUUGCUUCCAAGUAAUUAUUUUUCCUCAAUACAACUUUCAUCUUAAUUUUCCACAACGAAAAAUUAUUUUCGUUAAAUUUCUCAAUUUCAUACUUUGCUGUCAUUUUGUUGAUAAAUAUUGUACACAAACUAGUGUAUCACCUUGAAUAGUUGUGAGUAUGUGUAAGAAUGCACACCAGAAAAGUUCCUAGGAAAGACUGGAGGGGUCACAAUAGUCCCACUUAAAACUCAGACUCCUUAAGCUCUUAUCGCCUUUGUGACAGAACUUUCCUAGACAUGUAUAAAACCACACAAUUGCUUUACUCACACCACUAUUCCCUGCUUUGUACCGCCAAAUUCUUCGAUCGCUCCCACCGUUUCACGUGAAUAGUACUGUAUACGUGAACAGUACCGUGUACGUGAAUAGUAUCCCUUACGUGAACAGUACCCAACUCUAAAAAAUACAAUAAAUAGCUCUGAUACCACUGUUAGGAAAUUGGUGGGUGAAGCAGGACCGCAGCUAAUAUGAAAUUGGAAGAAAAUAAAGAACAAGGACAAAAAGAGGAUACCAGAAAUUACGUGGUUCGGCUUUUAACCUACGUCCACGGGCGAAAACAGAAGGAAAUAUUUUACUCGUAAAAAGGAGUUACAAGUAUUGUAGUAUUUUAGCUCACUUUCCAAAAUCCCAAUACACCCAAACUCUCAAAACACUAAAACAAGAGCUUAUAAUUUCAAGCUCUCUAAACUCUCUCUAAAUACAAGAAAACUCUUCUCAAAAUUGGAUAAGCAAAUGAGGGAAUGAGCCCCUCUAUUUAUAGCCAAAAUCUUGGCUACUAUUCACUUUUUUUUAAAAAUUAUUUAUUAUUGUUCAAAAUUUCAACAUUCAAAGUUUGAUAUUCAAACUUUGAAUAUCUAGAAUUUUGAAUUUGAUAUUCAAAGUUUGAAUAUCUAGAAGUUUGAAUUUGAUAUUCAAAGUUUGAAUAUCAAGACACCCAAUCUUGACACUAAAUUCACCAGACUGACAACUGGGGCAUAUAGAAGAGCGAAAUAACUGGGACAUAUACAAGAGUGAAAUGUUUAGAGCACGCUAAGUUCGAGUGAAAGAGAUUAAUUUACGGAAACUGAAGCCAAGAGAAUAAAGGACAACACUUACGUGAAGCGACAUAAUUGUAUUGAAAGCACAAUGUCAAAUUCAUACGGAGAUCUAGUAUAUUAUUUACAGCUGGUGAGGGCUAAGAAUUGAUGUAGCUAGAAUACAAAGACGAUAAGGUAUGUUGUGCACUAUUGUUUUAUUCUACGAUCAAUCUUGACCCUUGAUGCUUGGCUCUCAAUCUUGUCCAUUGAUCUUCUUUGAUUUUGGACACUUCAAGACCUUUCAGUAUCAUUCCUUGUUGUUGGUGUCUUCCGUGCUGUAGAAUUCAUAUACAAGCCUUCCCGCCGACUUGCCAAGUAUUCGUUCAUUGAUGCAUUUUUAUCAAACAGCUGGGCUACUUAUGCCAAACACCGCCUGGUUUAACUCCCCCUCUCUAGCUCAACUAUCUGGGAAGACAAUUAAUUGAGAUAUGAAUCAGAAAAUUAAAUUUUAAAAAUUGUAUUCGGACUCUACAUUUUGUAAUGAACAUUGGUUUGACUUGUUAUACAUUUAUGCGUACAUAAUUAAUAACCGAUUCUCAAGUGCGGACAUUCAAGAGCACUGCUUAAAGACCAAAUAUUUUGAUUUACUAUUUUUUGUCUUUCAAUUUUCUUUUAAGUUCUGAUGACGUCCGCAUUUUAAAAUCCUGUGGAACAAAGGCCUGACGUGCAUAUAAAAUUCUUUUAUUUUUUCAGAGGAAAAUGGGUUAGAGAAGAAGAUUUGGCAAAAGAAUUGCAACGGCAUUUGAAACUAGUCUUCGUCUUUUAAUUCUUUUAUAUUUGUUUUUGUUAUUGAUGUUAGCUUGGAUGUGAACCCGUGUGACUGAAUUCAACUUAUAUUUGUUUUUGUUAUUGUUAUUAAUUUUAUUUGUUUUUGUUAAAUUGGACCACCAACAAGGGCGGUCCAUUAUCAAAUCAACACGGUUUAAUUAUUAUUAUUUCUACACUUUUUUUAUGAACAAAUAUAAAAUAAAAGGACAUUUACACCCUCAAUUUUAGUGAAAUAGUCAUUAACACCCCUAAAUUUUUAAAAGUAGACAUCAAGAUCAUUUUUUUACCUUAAUACUCUUAUACGGUACCUCUAUUAUUCCCAAAAAUUGAUUCUAAUGUUUUAUAAUAAAUAAAAAUAAAACAUUAAAAUAAAUGUAAUAACAUAUAUAUUUUAAAAUAAUUUCAAUAUUUAAAAAAUAUUUUUAACAUUUUACAAUCUAUUAACUAUAUUUUAUUAUAUUGAAGUAAAUUUUAUAAUAAAUAGAAUCAUAUUAUUAAAAUAAAUGUAUUAAAAUUUAAAUGAUUUUGAAUAUCAUGUACAAUAAUAAUUUUAACAUUACUAAUAUGUCAGAUUUUUUUUUAAGAAUGUAUUUAGUGCAAAUAUUUCUUUCAAAUCUCCACAAUAAAUAAAAGAUUAAAAUAAAUAUAAUAAUUUACAUAUCUAAAUUUAUUAAAAUAUUUUAAUAUUGUUAGUCUACUGCAUAGAUCACAAUAUUUAUAUAAUAUUUGUAUUUAUUAAAAACUUUAAAAUCAAUUCUUUUGAGAAUAAUAGAGGUAAAGGGUAUAAUGGUCAAAAUGGGGACUUUGUACUCCUUUUUGAAAACUUGAAGGUGUUGGUGGCUAUUUUUCCAAACCUUCAGGGUGUAGAUGUCAUUUUUCCACAAAUAUAUGAGAAAAUUAUCAAGAAAUACAGUAUCUGAACUCUGAAGUAACAAGGAUCACCUUUUAUGAAAUCGAUUGCUUUUCAUGAUAGACUGUUACUAUUUUUCUACAAUAGAUUGAAUUUAGUAAAAAAUUGAUUAAGAUGUCUACUCAUGGAGAGUGAAAUUUAUGUUCAAUACUAAUUUCAACAUGCAUGCACCACCGAACGUGUUUCUCACGGAAAAGUUGCUUGGAUUUUUGGGACUUCCUGUUCAAAUAUUCAACACGGCAUGCACCACGCGAUUGAACAUGCAAAAGUAGGGGUCUAUUAUCAUUUCCAGCAUUAUAGAAAUCUUAAUUUUGUUCAUUAUUUAUUUUGAUCAGCACUGUUGAAUCUCCAUGUAUUGCCAAUCACUGGGAAACAACAUAUUCUUAUUAAUUAUAUCCUCUAAUGGAGAGAACUCAUUGUCUCAGUGUAAGAUCACUGUGUCAUUAACCCACAGCCUGCUGAUUUGCUUGGUUGCUGCAGCAAGCAAAAAUAUUACCACAGAUCAAAAAGCUCUUCUUGCCCCAAAAGAUCACAUAACUUAUGCUCCAACCAAUCUUUUGACCGAAAAUUGGACCUCAAAUACCUCUGUUUGUACGGGGAUUAGCAUCACUUGUGAUGUCAAUAGCCGCAGCCUUGGAUAUUUCUCAAUUCAAUCUACAAGGCACCAUUAUUCCAAACACAACUGGUAAUUUAAGAAACCUUAAGUGGCUCGGCUUGGCUUAUAAACUACUUGACAUCUUCAACUUCAAAAUUGAGCUUUCUUUCCUCUUUGGCAAAUUGCAAAAAAUUAAGAAUCUUAGGCUUACUGGAAAUCCACUUGACCGUAUCCUCUCACGUUCAAUAGGUAAUCUUUCUAUGUCUUAGGAAAGAUUUCACGUCGCCAAUUGCAGCAUUAGUGGCAGAAUUCCUCAAGUAAUCAGCAAUUUAAGCAACUUGUUGGCAGUUGUGCAAAAUUUUAAUAUACUCGCAAGUGCACGAAUCUAGAAAUAGAAUAAUGGUAAUGAGGUCAAACCCAUAGGGAUUGUUUUAAAAUGACAAAAGAAUAGCUGCUGGUCUAGAGGUGGCUUACUACAUUCAUACAAGAUCGUUUCUUGUUCUCUAAGAUGUGCAUUAUACUAAUAAUGCUAUACAAACUUAUCCAAAGGUCUAUUAAUUAAUUCAUUAAUCCAACGGCUUGUUAGGUUGUCCUUUCAUCCAUACAGCUGCAUGCUUGUCUUCAUAUACACUGAUCUUAUCCUCUAGAUCUGUUCAGGCUGAGUGAUCUCUCACAUUUGCCAUAUCAGAAGAUUACAUGCCAGUAAUGUCAUGUGAUGACCUGUUGCUUGGUGAUGUCGAAUGCCUGGCCUUUACUUCUCUGAGCAAAUUGAUCAAACAAUUUGUUCAUUUUAUCGAACACCUUCACCAACUAACAUUUUAUUUACUUUGGAUGGUUUUUAAGUGCAUUUAAUGAUUAUUUUUGCUCCAACUUCAGAUAAACCAAACGCCAGUAUAUUAGAAGAAGAAGUUAACUGGCAGCUAACCAGGUCAAAAUAGCGACUCUAUAUAAAAAAAAUAUAUAAAAUAAAAAAAUGGGACUUUAUUUAAUUAAUUGUUGGUCUAAAGCUGUUGGUAUCCGUUGGCCACGUUUCUGAAGAGUCAUCUCAAAUCGAAAUUUUUAACGAACAAAGGACAUUGCUGCUGGCUGCCGCCCGUGAGAUAAAAGUGCUAAAAUCCAAAAUGUUCCACCAUCAUUUAUUCUAAUUUUAAUUUUCCAAUGGAAAAAAUUACAUAAUUAAAAUGGCUUCUAAUAUCAUUUCCACACCUCAAUAUGUGUCACUAUCAUAAAGUUGUUCUCAUGAUUCAUGGAAAAUUUGGAUUACAGCACCUGUACUUUCUGAUGGUUCAUUAUUUAUUCUCAGGAAUCGAGUCUCCUUACAUUACCAAACUAAUAACAAACAGGAAUCUUUUAUCCUUUCACGGUGAGAAAUUACAGUCUUCGUAUGAUCGCAGUGCCAUUAACCCACUGCCUGCUUCUUUACUUGGUUGUUGCAGUAGCAGCAGCAAGCUACAUUACCACAGACCAACAAGCUCUUCUUGCCCUGAAAGCUCAUAUAAGUUAUGAUCCAACUAAUCUUUUGGCUCAAAAUUGGACCUCAAAUACCUCUGUUUGUAACUGGAUAGGCAUUACUUGUAAUGUCAAUAGCCAUAGAGUUACAGCAUUUGGAUGAAUUUUUAUUGAAACCUUUCUGAGAAGUAGGACAUGUCAGACAUCAAAGCACUGAGAUAUCUUCAAAUAGUGGUAACCCCACUCAUCAAGGCACAAUAAAUUAUACAGAUAAAAUCCUCCACUCUUUCGUAAUCAUCGGUGUAGGCACGGUGAUGCGUCGGACAGAUAUGGGUCGGAUCCACUCCAGCUCCAUAUCAAGAUUCAUAAACCAUGACAAAAAUAGAGAAUCAUAGGUGUUGCAGAUAGUGAUGGUUGUUGAUGCACUCGUAAUUUAAAAUUUUAUUUUAUAUCUUCAAGUUCGCAUUUUAAGUGUACAUUUUUUUUUUAUUUUGUGAUCAAUAUAACUUGUCAAAUCUAUUUUUAAAUAAUUUUUUAAAACAUUUUAUUAACAAUGAUAUGAAAAUAUUCGACCCCUUUUCAUAGUAAAGUGAAUUAUUAUCCGACAAUCCAACUCAUGUUUUCAAAUUGUAAAUUGCAAAUCGUGUGUUUGCUCCUGUUAGAGUGCAAUUUAUGCACUAGUUUUGCAUUGUUUACUUCCCUUAAUAUCGAUGUUUUGCACUUAAUAAUAAUGAUUUACUUGUGUUUUACUUUUGUAGGUGCAAUUCUAUUGAUUUGUGAUAAAAUUGAGCUAUAAGAUGAUGUUUAAAGAUGAUUGUUCUCUUGGAGAAAUGAUGAGCGUCAGAAGAACUUUGUUGAUAAGGCGUGAGCGCGUGCUGUCAACUACGGGCCUGCUGUUUUUAGUUUAACGUGUUUUGUAUUUUUGGUUAUUUUUGUAAUUACGAAUUUAAUAUUUCAGAUAUUAGUAUUUUAUUUUAAAUAGAAUUCUAGAGGAGAAGAGAGAGAGAGUAUUUAAGGGAGGAAUCUAUUGUGAAAAAAGGGGAUUUUGGAUUGGAGGAAAAGAAAAGAAACCCUAGAUCUAAUUUUUCUCUUCUCUCUAUGAAGAACUAAACUUAUUUUUCUGGUUGAAGGAUAAUGAAGCUUUGAUUCAUCACUACUGUGAGAUCUUUCUUGUGCUUUAAUUGUUUUAUUGCUUUUUGGGUAUUUGUUUAUUCUCUGAAUUAUUUUCAUGAUUAUGUUUGUUAAUUAGAUAAUUGGCCACUAUUUAAUUAUCAACUUAAUCUAUUGUUAAUUAAAGGAUUUAUCGUAUGAAGAAUUUAAUGUUUGUGACAAAUAACAUAGCAGAGAGUUGUGUUGUGAGAAUAAACAAUCUAAUUUAAAUGAAUCAUCAUAUGUGUUGAUUAGGAUUUAGGUCUCUCUGGUUUUUCAGGCUGUCAAUUGAUUAAAUCCUAUGAUCGUAUCUAGGGUUGUCCAUUGAUUAGGGAAAUAUCCAACGGUCGUACCUUGGUUAUCGACUAAUUAAGGAGAGAUUGGCUAUUAGAGGGUCUCAGUAGCUAUAACCGGUCUAUUCAUAAGUAAUAAUAAUUUAUAUUUGAAUCAAUGAUCAGUAGUCGAAUCAAGCUGAGUUAAUUCCUUCAACCGGAGCUUUCUCCAAUUUGAAUUACAACUUUAAUUUGCAUUCUUGUUAUUUUAAUUUGAUUUUUAUUAUUGUCAACAAUUCCCCCAUUUUACGUUUUACGUUUCAAAAGGAUUUAAAUAAUUACCGAUCUCUGUGGACACGACCCUGCUCAAUCACUAUACACAAUUUAUUUAGAGUAGGAAUUUAUUUUUGUUGGCUUCGACAACCAUCAAAUUUUGGCACUGUUGCCGGGGAUUGGUGUCAUUUAUUUAAUCCUUUUUACGUUUUACUUGGUGUAUGAUUCGUUCUUCUCGUACAGGUACACUUUCGUUUGAUCCUGAAAUUGAGAAGAUAGCUCGCCACCUGAGACAGCAGACGAAGCGAGCUAAGCAACGAUCCUCGUCACCUUUGCUUUCUGAAACAGAUACGGUGCUUGAUUUAGUUGAAUCAUCUAGCGAUUCGGAAGAACAAGUGAUGGAUAGAGUUGCACCUGUAGAAAGAACUCUUAGAGAGUUAGCUGAACCAGACUUGAAUCAACAACCACUCUGCAUUCAAUAUGUAGACUUGGAGGUAAAUUUUGAAUUAAAGUCUGGUCUUAUUCAUUUAUUACCCAAGUUUCGUGGUUUUGCAGGUGAAGAUCCUCAUAAACAUCUUAAGGAGUUUCAUGUUGUGUGUUCAAGUAUGAGGCCACAAGGCGUGACUGAAGAGCAGAUUAAGCUGCGUGCUUUUCCGUUCUCUGUAGAUGGGCUAGCUAAAGACUGGUUGUACUACUUGCCUCCUGGAUCGAUUACAACGUGGAAUGGUUUGAAGAAGCAAUUCCUCGAGAAGUACUUUCCUACUUCAAGAGCUGCCAACAUCAGAAAAGAUAUUUGUGGGAUCAGACAACUUCCUGGGGAGACUUUGUAUGAGUAUUGGGAGCGAUUUAAACAAUUGUGUGCCAGCUGUCCUCAGCAUCAGAUUUCUGAUCAACUUCUUAUUCAAUAUUUUUACGAAGGACUGUCAUUGAUGGAUAGGAGUAUGAUAGAUGCUGCUAGUGGAGGCGUGUUGGUGAACAAGACCCCUACUCAAGCAAGGGAGCUGAUAUCAAAUAUGGCUGCCAAUGCACAACAAUUUGGCAGCAGGCAAGAUCCCACUUCAAGGAAGGUAAAUGAGGUAAAUAUUUCUUCUGUUGAACAACGUUUAGAUAAACUUACUUCUCUUGUGGAAAAGUUUGUUGUAGGUAAUGUGCAACAUAUGAAGACUUGUGGCAUUUGUUACAAUAUGGGUCAUUCAAUUGAUAUGUGUCCUACACUUCAAGAAGAACCCGUUGAACAAGCCAAUGCAAUUCAAGGAUUUCCAGGCAUGCCUCAGAGGAGGUAUGAUCCUUAUGCACAAACAUACAAUCCGGGAUGGAAGGAUCAUCCCAACUUCAGCUAUGGAGUUAGGCCGUCAGGAUUCCCACAACAGUAUCCACCAAGACAACCAGCACCUCCACAGUCAAACUCCAAGUCAGGUAUAUCUCUUGAAGAAAUUGUUAAAUCACUUGCGACUAACACUCAACAAUUUCAGCAGGCAACUACAGCAAGCAUUCAGAAUUUGGAGAACCAAAUGAGUCAAUUGGCGAUUACAGUGAGCCGUCUGGAGUCUCAAGUAUUAGGGAGAUUGCCUUCACAAUCUGAGGUGAAUCCAAAGCAAAACAUUAGUGCUGUCAUCCUUAGAAGUGGGAAGGAGUUGCAAGAGCCUAGUAAGAAAGUGACAAAGCAUGUAGAAGAUGAGUUUGAGAAGAAUGAAUUGAUGCCUCAAUCUCAAGAUGUGGAACCCACCAGAGCGAAACCCCUACCUAUUGUGAUACCUCCUCCUUUUCCAAGCCGGUUUGCAAAAUCCAAGAAGGAGGAACAAGAGAAAGACAUCCUUGAGACAUUUCGCAAGGUUGAGGUAAAUAUUCCUUUAUUAGAUGCUAUAAAACAAAUACCUCGAUAUGCUAAAGUCCUUAAGGAACUGUGCACCUCCAAGAGAAAAUUAAGAGGAGAUGAAAAAGUUCACAUGGGGGAGAAUGUUUCAGCAGUUCUCCAAAAGAAACUACCUCCUAAGUGCAAGGAUCCAUGUAUGUUUACUAUCCCUUGUAAAAUUGGUAGUGUUAGAAUUGAAAAGGCUUUGUUAGAUCUAGGAGCUGCUAUUAAUGUCAUGCCUCGUUCCAUUUAUUCAUCUUUAAAUUUGGUCCAUUAAAAGAAACUGGCGUGAUAAUUCAACUAGCUGAUAGGUCUAAUGCAUAUCCUGAUGGGGUAUUAGAAGAUGUCUUAGUACAAGUUAAUGAGUUGGUUUUUCCUGCUGAUUUUUAUGUACUUGAUAUGGAAGAGGAUAACUCCUCUAAUUCUGUCCCAAUUUUGCUAGGAAGACCUUUUCUUAAGACUGCUAGGACUAAAAUGGAUGUACAUAAAGGGACUCUUACUAUGGAGUUUGAUGGAGAGGUUAUAGAAUUCAAUAUGAAUGAUGCCAUGAAAUAUCAUAGUGAGGAACAUUCGGUAUUUUCUGUAGAUGUUAUUAACCCGAUAGUGCAGGAAGUUAUUUACAAGGAAAAAACGACGACAUUUCAUGAUAGAAUGAUUUUGUGAAAGGAGUUCUCUGUUGGUCAAAAAGUUCUUCUUUUUCAUUCUAAGCUUAAACUUUUUUCGGGUAAAUUACGUUCUUGCUGGGUUGGACCUUUUAUUGUUACUAAUAUUUUUCCUCAUGGUGCAGUUGAGAUUCGGAGUCCGACCUCUGACAAAGUUUCUAAGGUUAAUGGUCAUCGCUUAAAACCUUUUUAUGAAGGUUUUUCGGUGAAUAUUGUGGAGGAUGUGGCUCUCGAGAGUCCCAAUUAUGGAGAUUGAUGCAUAAAUGUGUCUAGCCAAAGACAUAAAACAAAGGCGCUUUUUGGGAGGCAACCCAAAUGAUUUAUUUAUUUUGGUUUUUGUUAUAUCUUCUUUUAAUUUUGAUUCUUUUUUUUUUUAAUGUGUUUGCUUAUUUUGGUCAGAAUAAAAUUUUUGAUAAGGCGUGUCCACGUCUUAACUAAUAAGUACUUCUGUGAUUUUUAAAGUAAAAUGGUUUUAAGGUGUGCCCACGUGCUUAUUAAAAAAGUGCAUCUGAAAUUUUUGUUGUCUCAAAGUGAUUCAUCACAAAAAUAAAAAAAAAAUUAUUUAUUUAUUAUUUUUUUUUCUAUUUAUUUUUUUUUAAAAAAACGAAAAAAAAAGGAGAUUUUCUUUUGUUCUUUCUUUUAUAUAUUUAUUUAUUUAUUUAUAAAAAAAAUUCAAAAAAUCACUGUUAAAAAAAAAAAUUUACUGUUCAUAAAAUCCCUAAUUUUCCAGAACUUGUUUUCUUCUCCAACCGCUUGCAGCACACCAGCAGCAAAGCAGCCCGCCGGAAAACGCACCACCCCGCGCGCGCAGCACCAGCAUCGAGCACCAUCCCGCGAGCGCAGCACCAGCAUUCUGUGUCUCGCAGCCCAGCAGCGCGCAACGAAGUCCCACCAGCGCGCAACGCAGCCUCACCAGCGCGCAACGCAGCCCCAACGCACAGCAAACGAGCACGCCCCGCAACGCAGAUCCGCAGCUCUAGCCCGCCCGCGCAGCGCAAAUCAAUCCAGCCAUCACCAUCGCGCAGCGCAUCGGUCCCGCGCGCGCAACGCAACGCAGCAUCAGCAUCCCACGUCCAGCGAGCAGCAACCCGCGCGCGCAGAUCUAGUCUUCGCCCAGCAGCGCGCAGAACCAGCGUCAGCCUAGCUCUCGCGCGCAACACAGCCCACGCAGCACGCAGAUCUAGUAGCCCCAGCGCGCGCGCACAACACAAUCAGCGCCAUCCCGCGUCCAUCAAGCAAGCUCCAGCCGAGCAGCAAUCGCAACGCAACCAACGUACGACCUAUAUUCCAGCUGGAUAAAUCGAAAUCCGUGAGUGCAAUUAUUGUAACAAUGCCGAAGAGAAAAGCAUCAACUUCCAAGUCAUCUAAAAAGACACCCGUCGCAAAUAAAUCCAAGAUUGCCGGUCCCACUACGGUUCCUUGGAACACAAUUUCAGAUUCACGCCAAGCCGUGAGACAAAGCUCGAAACAUGGAAAAGGCAUGAGUGUUUUGCCACUUGCAGAAUCCAAUCUUGGAGGGUGCCUCGCAUUCGCGACUCAACAAGAGAAAGAGAGGUACAAAGAUAUUUUCACGCACAAAAUACUUCCAGCUAAGUAUAUUCCUUACCUGACUCUUGAAAAAUUGAAUGUUAAGGAUAAUUUUGAUUCUUUGAUAGAUAAGAUUGGGUUGCGUAAGUUUGUUGAUGUUGAUUGUUUGGGUUAUGUUGAGUUGAUUAGGGAGUUUUAUGCUACUUUUCAAUUUAAUAUGUCGAAUGAUUUUACUUUGCAUACCCCGGAUGUCAUAAAGUUUAGGUUAAUGGGACGAAAUUUUUCACACUCUAUCACGGAUUUUAACCUAGCUUUAGGAUUCAUUGAUGAUGAUUAUUCUUCUAGUGAUGCAUAUUUAGGAACAACUUGUGACUUUAGCGAAAAUUUUGAGCCUUAUGGUCUUUGCCGUAAUUUAUCUGUUGAUCACAAUGCUUAUGACCCAAGUAAAUCAAAGAGUUCUUUCUUACGUGAUCCUGUUUUGAAAUGUGUGCAUCGAUUCUUAGCAUAUAAAUUUUUAGGCAAGAAAGAUCACUCAGGAGUUUUCUCUAAAACUGAAUUUUAUUUUAUCUGGUGCAUGUUAAAUGAUGUGAGGCCUAAUUUAGGUUUUUGGUUAGCGGAUUAAUUUCAAAGUGUGCUUAAACGGUAUAUGACUUUAUUUCUUGGUCCAUACAUUACUCUGUUAGCUGUAAACCUACCUAUGUGUGCUUGAUCUUGACAAUAAUGAUUUGCAUCUUGCUUGAUUUUUGGAUAUGUCUGAGUUUGAAAGAACAGGUGUGGUCGAAUUCAAGGAGGGGAGAUUUCAGUUUACUGAACCAGCACCCACUCAACCUCCGAAGAAGCUUUAUGCUAGAAGUGGUGCUACCUCUGAUGACGAGUUUGACGACGACACUGCUGCCCCGCCAACUAUUCCUUCUACAUCCGCACCACCUUUGAGCAUUCAGUUAGAGAAAAUGGAGCACAAGCUGCACAAGAUGGAGCAGAAUUUGGCCGCACACUUCGAGAGUGUGGGAUUUACCCCACCAUUUCCGCCAAGCCCAUAGACGUUAUGUGGAUCAAAGUUCACAAUUCAGGGAAGUUUCUUUUUGCCCUUAAUCUUUUAUCCUUACGCUUUAAUUUUUGUGUGAGCUUUGAUUAUCUUACAUUGGGGACAAUGUAAGUUCUUGGUGUGGGGGAGGGAUUUUUGCAUUAUUGAUGUCUGAAAUUAUUGUUUUCACUCUACUCAUCCUUAAAUGAUUUUGGAGUUAGUAUGCUUUAUAUAUUAUUAAUUUUCUUUUCCUUUCUCUCUCACUACUCUUUUCCCAUCUAUCUCAAAUUAUUUACAUCUAUUUUUUUUUCUAUCAUACUCUUUCAUCACUCACAUUUUAUCUUUCAUUUUUUUUACUACAUACAUCUUUCUCGCUUAUUAUCCUUUUUACCUUUCCUUUUAUAUCUCACUCAUACCUUCUUCUCAUUCUACACCACUAUUGAUGGUUGAUUCGUUUGAAGAGUGUACAGGAUUUGAUGGCAAAUUUACCAACUUUGUGAGGAUUUAAGCCUAUGAGCAACCACUUUGCUCUAAUUAUUUUUUGUUAUGUGAAUAUCAAUCCUAGUUUGUUUAUUCUAGAACUUGCUUUGUUAUGCAUGUUGAAGCCACAUUACGGGAUUUUAUGCAUUAAAAUGAUAAGGGCAAACCCUUUUCUAUUUUUCUAUUCUCCCAUUUUUUUUUCUCUAUCCGAAGACCUUUAUUUGCUAUCUUGGUUUGAGCCUUAACCAUUACCCAUCUAAUUCUCUCCGUCUACUUAACCAUUUUUCUUCUUUUUGAGCCUCAAUUUAAUGAGAUUUUUUUUGGACUCAUUGUGUGGAUAUAUUUUGUUGCUUUUUCUACCUUGUAUUAAAGUUUCUCAAUUAGAUCAACAAGCAUUAUGCUUGAAUUGAAUUGUGCAAGGUUCGUUUCUUUUGUUUGAUUCAAAAACAAAAAAAAAAAGAAAAAGAAAAAGAAAAAGAAAAAUCGAAAAAAAAAGAAAAAAAAUGUUUACAUUCUUGGUGACAUGAGUAGAAAUAAGCAUUUUGAUAUCAUAAGUUCAUUCAAUGAGUUCAUUCUUCUCAUUUUGAUCUCUUUUUCUUUCGUAAACCUUUCUUUUUCAUUCAACCUAUUUAACCCCAUUACAACCCUUUUAAGACCCUUAGAUUUUUGCAUUUUAUUCAUGUUUUGUGGAUUGAGAUGUGAUAUAUGAGCAAGCUUAUGGUAAUAGCAUUCUUUGAUUUGAUUUGAGUGAAUAAAUGACACCCUAAAUACUUUGAGUGCAUGGAGUGAAGUUAUUGAGAGGGCUAUUAAAUAUUGUUGCACUUGAAUUUUGAAUGGAUCUUCUUGGUGGUUGAAUGUUCUUAUUCUAUCUUAUGAAAUUCUAUGCUUUAAAAUCCUUGUCUCUAGAAUGUUGAUCGACUUAAUUUCUUGAGGUAUGCUUGCCUAAAAUUGUUUUUGGAUGAGUUGAGAUGAGAAUUGAGUGGAACUUUGGGAUUAAUCUUGAGUUAUAUGCUUGAGGACAAGCAUCAUCUUGGUGUGGGGGAAUUUGUUAGAGUGCAAUUUAUGCACUAGUUUUGCAUUGUUUACUUCCCUUAAUAUCGAUGUUUUGCACUUAAUAAUAAUGAUUUACUUGUGUUUUACUUUUGUUGGUGCAAUUCUAUUUAUUUGUGAUAAAAUUGAGCUAUAAGAUGAUGUUUAAAGAUGAUUGUUCUCUUGGAGAAAUUAUGAGCAUCAGAAGAACUUUGUUGAUAAGGCGUGGGCGCGUGCUGUCAACUACGGACCUGCAGUUUUUAGUUUAACGUGUUUUGUAUUUUUGGUUAUUUUUGUAAUUAUGAAUUUAAUAUUUCAGAUAUUAGUAUUUUAUUUUAAAUAGAAUUCUAGAGGAGAAGAGAGAGAGAGUAUUUAAGGGAGGAAUCUAUUGUGAAAAAAAGGGAUUUUGGAUUGGAGGAAAAGAAAAGAAACCCUAGAUCUAAUUUUUCUCUUCUCUCUAUGAAGAACUAAACUUAUUUUUCUGGUUGAAGGAUAAUGAAGCUUUGAUUCAUCACUACUGUGAGAUCUUUCUUGUGCUUUAAUUGUUUUAUUGCUUUUUGGGUAUUUGUUUAUUCUCUGAAUUAUUUUCAUGAUUAUGUUUGUUAAUUAGAUAAUUGGGCACUAUUUAAUUAUCAACUUAAUCUAUUGUUAAUUAAAGGAUUCAUCGUAUGAAGAAUUUAAUGUUUGUGACAAAUAACAUAGCAGAGAAUUGUGUUGUGAGAAUAAACAAUCUAAUUUAAAUGAAUCAUCAUAUGUGUUGAUUAGGAUUUGGGUCUCUCUGGUUUUUCAGGCUGUCAAUUGAUUAAAUCCUAUGAUCGUAUCUAGGGUUGUCUAUUGAUUAGGGAAAUAUCCAAUGGUCGUACCUUGGUUAUCGACUAAUUAAGGAGAGAUUGGCUAUUAGAGGGUCUCAGUAGCUAUAACCGGUCUAUUCAUAAGUAAUAAUAAUUUAUAUUUGAAUCAAUGAUCAGUAGUCGAAUCAAGCUGAGUUAAUUCCUUCAACCAGAGCUUUCUCCAAUUUGAAUUACAACUUUAAUUUGCAUUCUUGUUAUUUUAAUUUGAUUUUUAUUAUUAUCAACAAUUCUCCCAUUUUACGUUUUACGUUUCAAAAGGAUUUAAAUAAUUACCGAUCUCUGUGGACACGACCCUGCUCAAUCACUAUACACAAUUUAUUUAGAGUAGGAAUUUAUUUUUGUUGGCUUCGACAACCAUCAGCUCCAUUACAGAGUUUCAUCAAUUUGAAAUAGAGAAUCAUUUGUGUUCUAGAUUAAUCGAGGGUCUAUAUCCAAAUCUAAAAAUUGACUAACUUGGUUUCUAUUAAAUUCUUAAUCCUAACAAGAAAAAUAGAAGAUUAAAAAUGACUAAUUUGGUUUCUAUUAAUUUGAGUAACGAUCGAAUUACCUCAUUUAUUAAGAUUUAUCAAAAUCCUAUGUCAAAAUCCAUUAAUAAUAUAGGUUGGAUGAUGAAAUAGUCACUUAUUAUUAUUUUUGACUUCAUAAAUAGAUGAACGGAUGUUAUUUUUGGAUUCUGGAGAAUCCAAAAUAUCAGGAUAUGUGAUAAAUGGAAUUAAGUUGUAGAUAAGAUAGAAAUGGAUUUGGAGAGAGAUUGGAAUCCUGGGUAAUCCGGUGUACGUUGUUGUGUUGAAUGCUCGUUGACUUCACGUUGACUGACACAUUAUUGGAAGAAGUGAGCAAGCUUAUUUUCUUCUCUCAUUUUUAAAUUUGUCUAAGUUUAUUGAUGUGAGGCCUUUGAGAUUGUAAGUUUCAAAUCUGAGAAGAAUAACCACACACCCAUUAAUAAAUUUGUGAGGAUUGUGAGGGUUGAUGCAAUAUAAUUUAGAUGCAAAGUGUUUACAAGUACGAUGCUUCAUAAGUGUUCUUCAAUCAUUAUAAACUCACGUUAUUUUUAUAAUGAUUGUUUCAUCUGCACAUGGAUAUAAUCAUAUGUUGAGAUUUUUUCCUAAAUUAUGGUCUUAUUUGGUAUUGAGGUGUUAGAUCUUUUAAGAUACAAUUACUAUUGGAAAAAAUAGUGCAACUAUGAAAUAAAAGUUAAUAUUGUGUACUAAUUAUAAUUGUUAAAUAAUAAUUUUGACAAAAUUAGUGAAGAUAUAUAGUUUUUUUUUUAUCAUAUAAGUAUAAAAUCAAAUCAACUUAACUUCUAAACUAUAUAGCAGCUACUGCUUACCAAAUAUUUUAGUGCUGUAGCUUUUAAGUUAUAACUGCCUAACCUCAGUCUCAAACAAUGGCUAUAAAGAUCAAAGAUUUCCUCAUAAAAAUUAUACGUCUUGUGAUUGCUUAUUUAAUUUAUAUUUUUUUAUUUAUCUUUAUUAAUUACAAUCAUCUUUUAAUAAAUUACAAUUGGAGGAAGUUGAUGUUCGAAGUGCUUAUGUCGACUCGAAGUUGUUGGGAAUUAAUGCAUGUAUUGAUUUAUUGGGAGUGUUUAAAUGAUUUUGUGAUUUACUUGAUUGAUUGAUUGAAUAUUGUUUGAUUACUUUGUAUCCAUUCUAGAAAGUUUAUUUCUUUGUGAAAUUUCGACAAAAUAUGUUUUUCUUUUUAAAUAAUAAGGGUGUUUUAAGUAAUUUUUAAAAAUAAAUGGACUAACUAGAAUUAAUUAUUAGGUAACUAACUCGAACUGUACAAGGUAAGCGAACAUUUAUGCUGAUUAUAUCAUGAUAAAUCAUUUUCCGAUUAGAAUUAGGAAACCAUUAGCAUAUUGACUUUUUUUUUUUUUUUUUUCAAUCUCCCUUUGCGAAAACGGAUUACAGAAUUAGAAAACAAUCCUAAUGAUAUUAUUGUUAGGUUUAAAACACGGCAUAGAUAGUCAAAAGCUAACUAGUCUGCAGUAAUUUGUUAAUUGCUAUCGCCUCUCCAUGCGUGGUGAAUAAUUUGUUGCAUGCAAACUUUUUCCAUUUUAAAUAAACACAACGCGAUGUUUAUCUGCUCCGCGUUUUGCAAUCUGUUUAUUCGUUGUUUAUUUGCUUCGUAAGUCCUCAAACUUUGAUAACCAAAAAUUUCACCAAACUAUGAAAAUUAUUCUGCAGGUUAGUUUUUAUUUUCGGAAUAAUUAUUUGAGAAUACUAAAACACAAUAUAAAAUAAGAAAAUAGGGGGUUAAAAUUUGAAAAAAAAAAACAAAAGGGCAUGUUGGAUAGAUUACUGUGGUUUAAGAAAAAAAAUUAUUCAGUUGGGAAUUUUUUUUCUUUAAUUUUUGUUUUACUUAAUUGAGAUUUCUCCUUAAUCCUUACAGUUUUAAAUUUGGAUAACAUAGGAUUAGUAAUUUAGUACUUCCUUUGCAAGCUGAGGUUAAGGAUGAAAUUCUUUUAAGAAAAAAAGAUAAAAGAGCAUAACAAUAGUCAAUUAUAAAUAACCACAAAUAAAUACAAACAAAAUGUUUAUGAAGUAAAUUAAAAAUGCACAUAUUAUUUUUUAUUUUAUUUCUUACUAAUCUGUGUAUUUGCUGCUUGAAAAACCAUAAAUACACAGAUGACCAUUGGCUUCGCACCAUUUAAUCGGGAUACAUUUCUACGUACAAACUGAACAAGGCUAUUGAUUUUUAUUUAUUUAUAAAUUACUAUUUCAAUUUUCACUUUUUAUUGGGUUGUUUAAUGGAUUAGUGAGGCUGGUGGUCGUUGAUGCACUCACAAGGUACAAUUUUGUUUUCAAAUUUCAAAUUCGUAUUUUAAAAUGCAGCACAUUAUGCAUACAUAAUUAUUGAUUUUCAUAUGUGGGUGUUUUGAAAUAUUGCUAAAAGGCCAAACUUUAAUAAACUAUUUUUGAUCCUUUUUUGUUUCUUUUUUCCUAAAGUUUGAGUGAUAUCCGCAUUUUUAAAAGCUAAUGUAUGCAAAAAAUUCUUUCAUUUUUCUGGGGAAAAUAGGUAAGAGAAAAAGUUUUGGCAAAUGAGCUGCAACUGAAUUCAAAACCAAUACGAUGCGAGCAUAGGAAAGAGGUCAGUGUUUUGGAUUUGAAUUUAAAGAGGUCAGUGUUUUGGAUUUGAAUUUAGUAUUGAGCUGAAUUUUAUGUUUAACACAUGAUUCUAUUAUAGUACUGCGAUUAAUAAGCUCAGCCCCGGAUUUGCUUUUGCUUUUGCUUUUACUUCAAGUGAAAGAAAGAGGAAACCUUUUGUUUUUUCUUUGGUUUUUGACUAUGUUACCUAUACAGAGAGUCAAGAUAUCAGCCAUAAGUGAUGGUGUUAAAAAGAUUAAGCAGCGCACACAAUCUUACUGCUGUCUAGACGAUCCAAUGAUGACUCCAGUCUUUUGGUUACAUUAGCUUUAGUUGAAAUAAGGGCCAAUUUAGCAAACACUAGCUUUGGUGGCUUAUUAUGUUUAAUGUAAUGCUUAUUCUUAAGGAAUCUAAUGUAUAUAAGAUGAUUGAAUGAUCUUCUAUGAUUGUGAGUAGUAUAGGAUAAUUGAAAAGAGUCUGGUGUUAAAGGCUUACAGUUUUAAGCCUUUUAAACCAUGCGAUUUUAAAGUUUUACCGGAUUUUCCCGCACUUUAAAAUUUUAGACUGAAACAUUUUUGUAUAUAUAUACAUAAAAAUAUAUAUAUAUAAAUAUAUAAAUUAAGAGGGAUGAGUUAACUGAAGAUUAUAAUCAUUACAACAAUGCUGAUGAGUGAUACAUCACUUGAAAUUUACUUGUCAGUUGCUGAAAUGAUGAAAAAAAAAAUAAACAAUAACAGUGAUAAUGUUCUCUUGCUGAAAUGACUUGUAUAUUAUACAAUCCACUCUACUUAAUGAUAUCGUUUUAAUAAAUGUUUGAUGAUCUCCAUUUAAAAACUACUUCAAUUUUUUUCUUCAUUUAAGUUUUUGGUUGUUGAAAAUAACCUUAAUUAUCAAAUAAUUGGAGAAAGAGUAAAGAACAUUUAACAAAUUUAUGUGCAAAAAAAAAAAAGGGAGAAGUUGAAGAGAAAGGGUGCUUGCAGAAGUAGGUGUCAAAGAUAAAUCGGUCCAUAGGAAUUAUUUUGGUUAUUUUUUAGCAAUAGAAAAAUUUUUUAGCAAGUAAAAAUUAAUUUUUUUCCGCUUUACUAAAAAAUUAACUAAAAACUUAUGCGAUAGCAUUUUUUAUGGGUGCAUAUACUUCCCUUUAAAAAAAAUAUAAUAAUUAAUGCUUAAUAUAGUAUUAAAUACGAAAAUAUCAAUAUUUGACUACUCAAAUGUAUAUCAUUAGGUCCUUAAAAUUUAAAAUUGAAGAUACAAAAGGUAAUAUAUAUAAAUUUCAUUCUCAUGGGAAAGGAUCAUCUUAUAAUCUUAUAAUAUUUGAGCUUUGAAAGAUUUUUUUGAAACAAAUGUACUUUUAUUUGUGUACAAUCAAUAUGUACUUAUUUAUUAUAUUUUUAUUUAUUAACUAUCAAUCAUGUGAGUAUAUUUAGUCAGAAAAAUUAUAUCAAGAGAGAACCCUAAUUUCACGUAAAGACAAAUACAAGACAAAUAUGGCAAUUUCUAUACUAUUCACUUUCCUGUAAAAUCAAUUAUCUAAAAUGCAAGUUUGUGGCUUCAAAAAACUCGCCAAAGAAAGAAGAUAAUAGCAAUUGAGCAUUGAUAGCAAAUCUAAUGCAUCCAAUUCUUCUUAACUUGAUGAGUGACGUGAAUGCUACCAGUCUGUGACACCCAAAUUUUUAUUAUUUUAUUUAUUUUUUUAAUGGAAUUUGUAAAUGACGUUUUUGCCCUUAUAAAAAGGGUUAUUCAUGGAAUAAUUUUUAGGAAAGGGUUAUUUUUCCAAAUUCAAUAGGGUUUCUUAAGACUCCCUAUAAAUUCAUAUUUUUCUCCUUUCAUAACCCUAAAAGCACGACGUUUCUUCUUUUUCUAUACUGCUCAUUACACUCUUACCCAAACCCUAAGAUUCAAACCUUUGGUUAAGAGAGAAUCAAAGCGAUUGGUAAGUUUAUUCCCCUUAUUCUCUACAAGAUUCCCAAUCACUCUAUCUAGGGUCUAUAUUGGCAUGAUUUUAGAUUGUUAUAGAUCAUAAUACAUGAUUUAGAAUGUGUUUAGGCUUUGUUUAGAGUUUUGAUUUAUUAUGAGUUUAGUUAAUCAACCUUGACGUAUUAAGCACAUAGAAUAGUUCCAUAGAAUAUUAUGUUAUUCUAAGUUUUAGAUUAAGAGUUAAAAUUCUAAGCAUCAGACUUGUACGGGUACGAAUUAGAAAAAUCGGGUUCUUAGAAUAAGUUAUUAAUUGUCAUAUCUUGUAUUUGUUUAAGGUGAUUGAGGCUCUUAGAGGGUUAGAGGUGUGUUAAUUCAAAUUCUUUUGUCGAGGUAAGUAACUUCAUUCCUAAUGUACUGGAUAUAUAUAUAUAUAUAUGAUUAUUUUGAUAUUAUUAUAAGUACACAAAUUUUUUUACUACUUAGAAGAUUAAUUGAUUUUCAUAACAAAAUCAGUUUGUGUAAAUGUUUUCAAACCUAAAUUCCUUUUAAUAAAUUAUUUUGUAAAGGCUUUUAAAUAUGUAAGUUAUUUUAUGACAUGACUACCUUUUAUAAUUUUGUCUAUGAAAUAUUUGCAAGCCUAAAUUGUGGUUAUGGACUUUCAUGAAACUAAUACGAAUGUUUUGUACCUAUGUAUGAUUUCAAUUAUUUAUGAUUGUACGGGGGCCACCUCUUGGGACUAUAUGGGGGCCACCUCUUGAAAUUCAAAGCAUCACAAAAGUGCCACGUAUAAGUCAUUAUGUUUUGGCUCAUUAUCUGUAGUUAUUCUGAUUCUGAUUCUGAUGGUAUAAUACAAUAUAUGUCUGUUCUGGACCAGUACUAGGUUUUUGUUUUGAGUGUGCACAUGAUAUUCUGACUCUGUUUCUGGCCGGGUCACUAGGACUAUAGGUGACACUAUGUGACAUGAGCUAACCUUUUGUUUUCUGUGAAUGUGAUAUAUGAUUUGCUUUUGUAAAUAACUAUGCUUUUGAUAUUCUGAGUUACAAUGAAUUUAAAUUAUUUUAUAGUGAUAUAUCGUUUUAUGAAAUUUAUGGAUUAUGAUAUAUGUUUUAAUUAAAAGAAGGCUUGCAAUAUUUUUGGUAUUGAUAGGUCUAGUGUGUUAGGAAUAUUUUUACUUACCGAGUUGACGGCUCACCCCUCGUCAUUACUUUUUGCAGAUUAAGUUUCUUUUGAGAGCUGCGCUUAGCUUUGGAGUUAGUAAUUUUCUGUUUCCGUUUGCCAUUUGAAUAAGAGGAGAAAUAAACUCAUGUUUCUAUUUAGUUUAUUUAUGUUAUGAAUGUGUAAUUUGGAGUUUGAGACUUUUGUUAUUUUUUUUAUGUCCUCGGGAGAGAUUAUUUAGUAUUAGACGUUUGAAUUUGUGGAUUUAUUUGAAUAAGAAUUUGAGGUAUUUCAGUUUGAAACUUAUGAGUAAAGAUUAUGAUUUGUAAGUAACAUCCUUCUUCACGUGCUCCGCACGUGUUAGAUUUGGGGUGUUACAAUUGUGGUAUCAGGGCAUUAGGUUUGGGAUUCUGUAAACUUUAUUUGAGGCUAGAUUUCUUAAGCACAAUCAAUUAGUUCAAUGGUAUUGCUUGCCAUGAGGUUAUCGGAAAGAGUAGAUCUUUAAGGCGAGGAGUAAUUUUGGUCUUUUUGAUUUUCUAGUUGCUUGUGACUUUGUAAUAACUCCUUGAUAUAGGAUUUUGGUAUUAACGUAGAAUGAAAUAUUUGUUUGCUCUUGUUGUCAAUUACUAACUUUUCUCAAUUAUACUAUUUACUCAGUACUUUGUGCUAUAGCAAGCCCUUUAACUAUGAAUUAUUUACCAUUUUAUUUAUUUAUUUAUUUUUAUUCUUCGUGUUAUAGUCAAAAGAUGUCACGUAGGGGAGGUGCUAGGCAUGCCUUUAGCUCGAGAGAUGUUUUAGGUAUCGUUGAUGACGCUGACCUAACCUUGCGCGAGAUGGCUAACGAAGGGAAUCCUAUGAUGCGCGCAAUGGUUAGAUUGAUGGAACAACAAAGUAAGUUGAUUCAAGAUAUGGCUAGAGGUAAAGUUGGGGCACAUGAGAUUGUGCCAGUUGAAAGACAAGGUGGUGGAAGAGAUCAGGGAGGUAUGAUGAGCUUAGAGCGGUUUAGGAAAUUGAGACCACCUACCUUUCAGGGGGCUGCCAAUCCUAUGGUUGCAGAGGCAUGGCUAAAACAGAUGGAGAAGAUAUUUAUGGCUAUGGGUUGUAAUGAUGAUUAGAGGGUGAUAUUGGCCUCAUUGGUCCUUUAGGGUGAGGUAGACCACUGGUGGGAUGCCAAAUCCCGUCUUUUGAGGGCCGGGUUGCAAGAUGCACCUAUUACUUGGGAGUUAUUUCUGAAGGCUUUUCAUGAAAAAUAUUUUCCUGAACGAGUUCGACAUCAGAUGGAGGCUGACUUCCUGAAAUUGACUCAAGGAACAAAGCAUGUUGCGGAGUAUGAGGAGCAAUUUACUGCUCUAUCUCGUUUUUCUCGUACCUUAGUUGCUAAUGAGGGUAGUAAGUGUAGGAAAUUCUUGGAAGGCUUACAUCCAAACAUAAAAAGACGGUUGACCAUCCUUAAGCUUAAUAAUAAUGCCCAUUUGGUGGAUAGUACGAUUAUUGCAGAGAGGGAUAUAAUUCAAUCUCAAGUUGCACGAUCUAAUCGACAUAAUAACCAGCCAAUAAAACAUGAUAGUAAUGGUAGUGAAGGUGAACAUAAGUGCACUCUAAUGGUGGGUCUAUUCAAGAGAACAAACCAUUCUGUAAUCGUUGUGACAAGUACCAUAAUGGCACGUGUUAUUUAAAGAUAUGAGCUUGUUUUGGCUAUGGACAGAUUGGGCAUAAGGUUAUAAAUUGCCCAAAAAAGCACAGUGGUAACAUAGAUUCUGCCGAGAACCAAAGGAAAAAGCCACGUGUCUUCGCCAUGGUGGAGCAAGAUAUUAAAAAACCGAAUAACGAAGCCUCAGGUGCAUUACCUAUUUUCCAUAGAAAGCCUUGAAUUUUUGAGUAAUUGGUAUUGUGCUUUUCCUCCAUCCUUUCUUAUUGGAUGCAUCGUAGCUAGAGUUUUUAGCCUAAUAAUCACUACUAGAAAAAUAGGCUUUACUGACGCUAAAUUAGUGUCAGUAAUUACUUUUCCUGACACUUAUUAAUUGUGUCAAUAAUGCUCCAGCCAUAAUACACUGACACUAAUUUCUAGUGUCAGCGAUUUUUGUGUCAGUAAUUCAUGUCAUUAUGGUAUCACGAAAAUAAUGACACGAUAGCGUUAGUAUUUAAUGAUACUAUUUAUAUGUCAGUAAUUUAUGAGACUACAGUAUCAAGAGCACACUGACUCAAUAACAUCAAAAAUUACUACUGCUAUUUUAAACAUUUAGUGUCAGUAUUUAGUGAUGUUAUGGUUCUUUUGGUUAAUAGUAUACUUUGAUUUUAAUUAUAUUUUCCUAUUUGUUUUACAACUGAAAGAAAACUCAAAAUAUAUUAAAUAUACAAAAUCUCGCAACACAAUUGCAUAAGAAACAUCUCAAAUACAUCACUCAAAUUCAUAUCAUUAAACUACAUCAUUGUUUGGAAAAGAAAAAUAUAAAUACUAAAUUAAGUCUUGGACAAGCUCUUAACAACCAAGUACUAAGUUAAGAUUCAACAAAUAUUAACCAACAAAAAGAAGCACAUAAUGUCAUUGAACAUCCACAAGCGGCUUCAUUUUUCUUUUCCCACCUACAAGUACAUAAAAUCAAUUAGUAUACCACAAAAAGUAAUUCUUGAAUUUUUGGGAGAAAAAACAAUCAGGCCAAUUUCAGUGUUCAAAGAGACUAACAAAGAAUGGGGGCAAAAACAAUACAUAGCUCUCUUAGUGCAAGCUAAUUGUAAUAGGUAGUAUUGUGAAGAAUAUUUAUCUGCUAAGAAUUGAACUUGAGUGGAUUUUCCUACAGAUCUAUACACAACUCAACUUAAGAAGAAUAAAAAAAUAAAAAAAUAAAAAUCCUAAGGAUUAAGAAAGAUAAAUGGAGAUUUAUUAGUAUACAUCCAAAAUUAGAAACUCAUUAAACAAUCCAGGGGUAAAAAUUGAGGAAUAAGAAUAUAGCGUAUCUCAGGAUAAGACCAAAGACAUAAUAACAGAAACAUUUGAGGCAAACCACUACAAAGUUUUUACAUAAUAACCCAAAGCAAAGCAAACCAUUAUAAAAUUUUUACAUAAUAACCUAGAAACAAAACAGACGAAAAUUGGGCAAGUCCAUAUCCCAAACCUCUGUUAGGAAAAAUGUGUUCAGCAGACUCAUGGCUCCAACAAUAGAAAUUAACCCGUACACAAGGAAACAAAUUAAUUGAUAUAAAAAACAGUCAAAGACAAAGCCAACUAAGAAGAUUAACUAAUUUGGAGAUUGAAUUACAUAGUUAUUUUUACAAAAUAUAGCAUAAGCCCAUUGUAUUUCAUAGUAAGCAACUGCAAAAAUGCCUAGAGGCAAAUUCAUAAAGGAAGAGUAGAUAGAAGAAAAAAAAGACGAGGAAAUAAACAGCUUGAAACAAACAAAUCACCUAACACAUCAUGGGGAAUUGACUUGUUAACGUUAAAGAGCAAAAUAAAACUUGGCACCUUCAUUCGAAAAAGAACAGACGCUUACCCCUUACGGAGAAUGGCUUAGGUUUUUCUUUAGAGUUUCAGGCUGAUUUAUAAGAAUAUGAAGAAGAAAUGAUUAUGGAAGUUUGAUAGUGAUCAAGGAUUGAAUAUUGGGCUUAAAAUACAAAUUGGCAGUGAGGGCUGGUUUUCGAUCAUAAUGUUGAGAGACCACUAAUUCCCAAUACUUGUACCCUCUCACAGAAAAAUCCAAAUUUAAUAAACAUGAACUAAAUCCAGUGUAUUGAGUGUUAUUAUUUAAUGGAACAUAAAAUCUCUGGGUCAAAUAAUUCUAAAGUUAAACCAACAAUAAUCCCAAAAGCUAUAGUUGAUAAGAAAGGCCCAACAGUAUACUUCUAUCACACAAAAUUUGAAGAUAGAAAAAAGAAGGGCCUUUUUGUUUUUUAACUGAAACUGAAAAAAGAUUCAGUAUUAACAAUUCAUAAAUUUUAAAGACGUUGGUUUUCCAUCUUAACACUGAAAACUUGGUGUUUAUAUAUCCGAAUAUAAUUAAGCCAAAAAUUUUAAUUUAUCACUAAAUAGGAAAACAACUAAAUAAGCUGCAUAGUUUUAUUUUCCAAUAAAUGCUUAUAAUAUUUAUUCAUUCCUUACCAUAUAAAAACCUAUCCUUCAUUAUUUAUUUAUUUUUUAUAGGAAACAGAGAAAUUAGUAUUAAUAAGAACAAUAAUUACAAAAUGUCAAAAGGGUGUCCACAAAAAAAGGCUAUUGAAGUAUCACAGACCAAUCUCCAAAUUAGGCAAGCACUCAGAUUCCAAGCUAAUACUCCAAAAAACAAAUCUAACCUCAAACUACCUGAUAAACAGCUCAAAAUGACAUAAUCCUCAACAUUCUUCAGACUAAUUGAUCAUGCAUCAAGGUAUGUUGGGAUCUACAAAUACAUUGAAAAGAUCUUUGCAAAUAACAGUACAACUAGAAAGCUUGGUGUUUACAUUCUUGAAAAUUCUUUUUAUUGCUGACAAUAGAAAGGGAUUCCUUUUUCUGCUUAUUUCCUAAAAAUACUAAUAUAUGCUGCCCCACUAUACUCACAAGUAAUCUUACACAAAUGCUCUUUAGACAAGAUUAGUAUUUGCUACCUUUCACCCCAAUUACAAAACCAUAGAAACUCACCACCUAGACAAAUUUUAAAUUGUCUCUAUAGUUGGCUAUUAAAAACUGCUAAAUUUGUUUGCAGCCAUGCCCAAAAAUUUCAAGAACAUUGAACACAACGUAUUAUAGGUACAAACAAGAUAAAAUGAUGUUCCAGGAUUCACUCGACAUGUCAUCCAAGGUGAUACAAAACGGUAGAACUAUAGAACUAGGACAAAACUUGCAGCAAGAUAAUGGCAAUUUCCCCCUUUCGUGUAAGAUAAUCAUAUUAUUCUUCAAAGAGAGACGCACAAAAAAAAAAUGCUUGUUGAAAACAAGCAAGCAUAUGGGUAUGAGUCUAUUGUUGUUUAUCUGUGAAUCAUGUUAAUAACCAGCCACAGAAAAAUAGUAAACAAUAGUUUUCACACAAUCGAUGCAUAUUAACACAAGCCACGGAUUAUGAUUUCACUAACCAUUGCACACAAAGGUUCCAGACCAAUUUUAGAAGGAGGUUCUACAAGUUACUUUCCUUCAACUACUUGAAAAUCAAUCAUUAACUAAAGAAAUACACAUGAAAUUAGUUUAAAUAAUAGGAAAGGUAAAGGAGACAUUUUAUAAAAACUCUUAAAUGUGGUACUAUGAUUUCCACAGACUGUGCAACAAAAAUAAAAUUGGAUGAACUAUAAUAAGUGAGAAGACAUAUUGUAAUUCUAUCAUCAAAGAAAGAUAAGCUUAAUCAUUUUUAAUUUUUUCUCAAAUAUCCAGUAGUACCUUAAGGUAAUAGGACAAGAUCGCAGAAGUUGUCAUGAAGAGUGUAAAGCACUAAAUAACAAAAAUUAUACUAAUAAAUAAAACUCAAUUUAUUUUCUCCCUCAAUCAAUUGCUUUGAGCUUACUAUGAAUUCAACUAUGAAUUUGAGGAAAAAAUACAGACCUCAGUUUGUCAACUUCUUGUUCAUGAGAUUCAGCCGCAGUAAAUGCAAACCUCCAUUUCUCGUCAAGCAUUGUUAACCUCUACGACAAAUUGAAGGUAAGAAGAUGAACAAAAUAAGUGUAAUGUGCAGGAAAAAAAAUGAAGUCUAUGGGUACAACAACACUUCAAGAUUUUUCAAGUUCUAGUUCAUUUAAAUAGACAUUCCUUGAACUUCAGUAGCAAAGAAAGUACAUUAUAGCAACAAUUUCAAUUCAUUUCAAUCUUUAGAAUUUUUUAUUUUAAAAAAAUAAAUUCCUUCAAACUAGUGAAAGGAAAAUAAAAGUGUGUUUACAGAAGAAAAAUCAUGGAAUGAAUUAAUGACCAUGCAAGUGAGGAAACACAGAAAUUUCUGAAUAAGAGCGAAACUAACCGUGCAAAUGAACAAAGAAAAUGUAAGUCUUCAAGUGCUACAACAAGCAAAACUACCUAAAAACAAGCAUUUUCUUCUUGAAUUAAAGACAAAUCAUGAACUUUGUGCAAUCUCAAAACAUUCAGACAAGCAUGAACUUAGUUAAUUCAUAUCAUAGUCAUUGUCUCUAUUAAAAAUCUUCCAACUAAAAAAAAUAAAAAAAUAAACAUGUUGGUUUCUAUAACAUAAUUUGCCUAUCUUUACAUGAAACAGAGCAAUAAAUAACACUUAAUAAUUAUGAAAUACACAGCCAUUCAAUCUAUAUAAUAUAGAAAUAAAGGAAAAAAAAGAAAAAAAUUCAAAUUACAAUUAAAUAAACAAAAAAUAGAUAUGGAAAAGAAAUCCCACCAAGACUGCACUACUGGGAGAAUUUCUCAACAUCUGCAACAACCCAUAAAAUUAAAAUUAACAAAAAACCCUAAUAAUCAUAAGCUAAAAUAAAACAAAUUUAUUAAUUAAUUUGACAAAGAAAAUAAAAUAUUAAGCCAUUACCAGCAGUUAAAGCCUUAAUCAAGGCAACCUGUUUGCCCUUAAAGUCAUUGAAAAUCUCCUUCACAGGUCUAAGUAUAAGGUGUGGUAUCCCUUCCAUAGCAAGAAAAUUAACUAAUUUCUCAAUAAUUUUAUUCAAAUUCAAGCAAAUGGGUUUUGAAUAUUGAACAAAAAAAAGUGAAAUUUGACCAUAAAAAGAAAAAAAAUUGAUAAAAGAAGCCUCGAUUACGGUUUUGGUCCGUUUUUCAAUUUGAGAAAAAAAAGGAAAAAGGGAAUAAAAGCCUCACUUAGGGUUUUAGCUUUAUAUUAUCUAUUUGAGUUAAAUGAACGAGUUUGUGAAUGGAAAGAAAAAAAAGGAAGAGAUCGAGAAGAGAAAAAGGAAAGAGAAAGGGAAAGAGAAAGGCAAGAGACAGUUUUGGGUUUGAGUUUGGGUUAGAGAUUUGUGUGUAUAAAAGACAGGGAGAUGGGGACAAUUGCUAAGUUUGGGAUAUGUUUUACUUUCGUUUUACAUGUUUUAAAUUCUUAAUUUAGUACCUGCAGUGUCGAACCACUUGAACGGAAGUGAUAGUGGCAACGGCGUGGGGGUGGGCGCAGCCAUGGGGGUUGGGCGCGGCCGUGGGCGUGGGCGUUUGGGCCUGGUCAUUCUCCAUCUUUCACGAUAGAGAAGAAGAAGUCAAGAAAGGCAAGGAAAUUACGCAGCAGCUACGACAUGGGCUCUAUUGCACAAUGGAAAAGGGGAAUUAGGGUUUGGUUUUUUAUAUGUUAAUAUUUUAUAUAACAUUGUAAUUCCAACUCAAUUUUAUGGGGUCCAGUGGUUUGCAAUCUAAACGUAAAAGUUUUGAGUUUUAGAAAUCCCAGGUUCGAGUUAAAAUCAAAACAAAUUUUAAUGAUUCUUUUUAGAUCUCUGAUGCUGAAGUAUCAGUGAUCUCUAAUAUUUAAUUUACUGAUACAUUAGUAUUAAUAAUUUGUGACAUUUAUUUGUUAAAAGUGGAAAAUGGUGCAUAGUUAGGUAAUUACUGACACUUUUUUUAAAGUGCCAGAAACAAAGUGUCAGUAAAAGUCAUUUUUGUAGUAGUGAAUUUCUUUUUUCAUCCAUUGAAUUUCUAUGGUACAUUAGUAGGAUAUGAGGUGUGAUUUUAUAAGGCCAUUAGGAUUAACUUAUGGUUGGAUGGAGUAGGGACUAAUAUGAUAUUUAGUAGGAUAUGGGAUGAAGAUUGCAAUAAAAGUGUUUCACCAGCAAUGUGCGAGCGCAUUGAAGGGUUUUGAAGUUGAAUGUGAAGUGAUAAAAAAUAUUCACCAUCGAAACCUUAUCAAUGUUAUUAUUAGUUGUUCGAACGAUGACUUCAAAGCAUUAGUCCUAGAAUACAUGUACAACGGGAGCUUGGAGGAUUGGCUGCAUUCUAGCAAUUAUGUGCUUAAUAUUUUUCCCAGGUUGAACAUAAUGAUUGACGUUGCAUCAGCUUUAAAAUAUCUCCACUUUGAUCAUUCAACUCGUAUCAUUCAUUGUGACUUAAAGCCUAAUAAUGUGUUGUUGGAUGAAAAUAUGGUUGCUCAUUUGAGUGAUUUUGGCAUAGCAAAGCUUUUAAGUUGAAGAUGAGUCUACGAUGCGAACAAAAACCCUUGCCACUAUAGGUUAUACGGCACAAGGUUUGCUUGAAACAACUUUUUUUUAGUUUAUUUUAAAAUUUCCAAAUUAUUGAUUUUUACGAUCCUCAUAUCAAAAUGUUAUUGAUUAUUUAUCUAAUUAUGAAAUAAUUUGAUUCAUAGAGUAUGGCAUAGAAGGAGAAAUAUGUGCAAAAAGUGAUGUUUACAGCUACGGGAUUAUGUUGAUGGAAACUUUUACCAAGAAAAAACCCACAGAUGAGAUUUUUGUUGGAGAAUUGAGCUUAAAGCGUUGGGUUAAUGACUUGCUUCCUAAUUCAUUAGUGGAAGUUGUGGACAAAAUUCUGCUAAUUGAAGAGGAAAAACAUUUUGCCGCAAAGGAGCAAUGUCUGUUCUCUAUCUUUAUUUUGGCACUAGAGUGUACAAUGGAAUCACCGGAAAAGAGGAUCAAUACAAAAGAUAUUGUUACCAGAUUACUCAAGAUAAGAGACACGUUGAGUAAAAGGAUAGGAAAUUUAAGUUAAUUUUGUUUGCUUUCAUUGAUAGUUACUUUGAAUUCAAGUAAUAAGUGUAAGAAUCGUUUAUCUUUUCUUUUGAUAUUUUUUUCUUGAGAAAACUGUUGUAGUCAUCUUUUUUCAAUGGGCAGAGUUGAUUUAGUUCUUCCAAGAAAUGCUAUUGUUGAUCUUUGUUACAUACGUUUGUCUUUUUUUGCAUGCAUUUAGGUAGAAUAGUGGUCUAGCUGCAGGCUAACAAGUCAAGCUACGCUAAAAGCGUAUGAUUUAAUUUAUUAAACCUAACUUCAAGUUCAAGAAUUGCAUCUCAUUGCCACCAAUGCUUUAGACACCUAUUCGUAGGUUUGUGUCCUCAACUUUGUUUGGAGCAAAAGUUCCAGUCCCAUGGAGGCUCAAAUAUUUCUCUCCUACGUCCCGAACACGCUAAAUUCAUCAGCCUCUUGAACCCUCUCCUGAGGGCGCCUUCUGUCCUCUGUUUUCUGUUUCCAUACACAAAUAGCAAAAAGAAUUCAGACUGAUAACUGGGUAUCUAAGAAUAUAUAAGAGUGAAAUAAUUAAAAAAAAUUGUGCUUUUUUGUUUGUCGUGUUAAAAUCGUAAGGUAUCUAAGUACUAUGAAAGAGAUUAGUUUACGAAAACUGAAGCCAAGGGUUCAUAAAAAAAAGUGCAUAGAGAAUAAAGGACAACGCUUAUGUAAAGCGACAUAAUUGUAUUGGUAGCACAAUGUCACGUUCAUACAGAGAUCAAGUACAUUAUUUACAGCUGGUAAGGGCUAAGAAUUGAUGUAGCUAGAAUACAAAGAUGAUAUGGUAUGUUGUGCACUAUUGUUUUAUUCUACAAUCAAUCUUGACCCUUGAUGCUUGGCUCUCAAUCUUGUCCAUUGAUCUUCUCUGAUCUCGAAAACUUCAAGACCUUUCAAUCUCAUGCCUUAUUAUUGGUGUCUUCUAUGCUGUUAAUUUCAAAUACUAGCUUUUCCGCCAACUUGCCAAUUAUUUGUUCAUUGGUGCGUUUUGUCAAACAGUGUGGAUACUUAUACCAAACGCUUUCUGUUUUAACUACCCCUUUCAAGCUCAAUUAUCUGGGAAGACACUAAUAAGCUUGUUUCUCAAGUAUAUGUAUCUGAAAAUUAAAUUUUCAAAAUUAUAUUCGGACUCUACAUUUUCUAAUGAACAUUGGUUUGGCUCAUAAGCUUAUUAUACUUGGGCUUGGUAGGAUUAUCGGUCGGUAGAUGAACAAGUGUUAGAGCUUUCGAAUUUAUGCCAAUUAAAAAAAAUCUAUAUAAAUUUUCCACUAGGCUAUUACCACAAUAAACAUUUGGAUGAACUAUUAUUGAAACCUUAUUGAGAAGUAGGACAUGUCGCAUACCAAUGCACUGACAUAUCUUCAAAUAGUGGUAACUCCACACAACAUGGCACAAUAAAUUAAGAGUUAUAUAGAUAAAAUCUUUCACUCUUUGGUAAUCAUCAAUGUCGGCAUGACAAUGCGUCCCACAAAUAUGGCUCCUUAUCAAAAUUCAUAAAUCAAAACAAAAUAGAGAAUCAUAUUUGUUCCAGAUUGUAGUGAUGGUUGUUGAUGCACUCACAAUUUACAAUUUUAUUUAAUAUCUUCAAAUUCGCAUUUUAAAAUGCCCAAAUGUUUGUGUAUACAUAAUUAGAUAAAAUCUUUCAUUCUUUGGUAAUCAUCAAUUUCACUAUUAUUCGCUUUAUUAUGUUUGUUUCUUGCAGUAUGUUAAAAGAUUAUGUUGUGAAUUUGUUUUACAGGCCGCCCGUAAGUCUGCGCCCACUGUUGUGAAUUUGUGUAUACAUAAUUAGUAAUCGAUUCUCAAGCACGGACAUUUAAAAGCACUGCCGAAAGACAAAAUUUUAAUUUACUAUUUUUUGUCUUUUAAUUUUCUUUAAGUUUUAAUGAUUCCGCAUUUUAAAAUCCUGUGGAACGUGUAUGUAAAAUUCUUUUAUCUUUUAGAGGAAAACGGGCAAGAGAAGAAUAUUUGGCAAAGGAAUUGCAACCGCAUUUGGAGCUAUAUUUAAUUUUGUCUUUUAAGUCUUUUACACUUGUUUUUGUUAUUGAUGUUAGCUUGGAUGUGUGUGCGUGUGCGACUGAAUUCAACUUACAUGCUAUUGAUGCAGCCACCAAAAAGGGGUGGUCCAUCAUCAAUCAACAAGGUUUAUUAUUAUUUUCAUAUGGAUUUUCUUAAUUAUAAAUAAUACUAAUGCUAUUUCAUAGUUAUAAAUAUAUUAGAAUUAAUCGAAAUCAUUUUUUAGUGUGGCAUUGCCAAACUACCUUUUUUUAUAAGUAAUUACUACUUUCACAUUAAGAAAAAUACUCCUAUUUUUAGGGAAAAAUCAAGUACUUGUAGUUGUGAAAACUUGAGCUCACUCGCGUAUGAUAAAUCUUCAUAUUAAUUACAUAAAUAUCCUCUAAAAUUUUAAAUUAACUAUUCAAAAUUCGAUGUUAUACGGGUAUUUCAUUUAUUUGAGUAGGGGUUAGGGGUCAAUUGGAUACAAAUUCAAAAUUAUCCUUACUUGAGAAGGUGAUAAAAAUUGGGGAUUUAAUUUGGAUGUCAUUAGCUACAAAUAUUAAAUUCAUACAUUUAAUUCAAAAUUGGAGGGUUGAUAUAUGCGCAUCAUCGUGCACGUUAUAGUGACACUGCGUCACCAUCCCACAACCUCUCCAAUGAAAAAUUAACACGUUUCUCGUGUGCAUUUGAUCAGAAUCCUGAAAAUUAAUCACAAAAUUGUACUUUUAUUAUAAAAAGAAUAAAGAAACUCCUGAAAAAAAAAUACUUACAUAAAUGGUUUGAAAAUUCUAGAUUUCAAGUUGUCUAUAUUAGCUUGAUAUUUUUAUAAAUAGUCAUCCUCUCAAAAAAAUUCCAUCAAAAUAUAUAUUUUAAUUUUAUGUUAAUUCAUAAACAUGAAAAAAUCAUUUCAUAAUUAAUUAAAACAUAAUUUAUUGUUUCUCAAAAAAGGUAGAACUUAGUGAUAAGAAAAAAGUAUCUCAAAUAUAUGUAAAAAAAAAAAAAAUCUUGGUUGGUUGGAAUGAUUGAAUUUGCUUUUCUUUUUCUUUUUUAAGAAUUAAGACAAUCGGAUUGAUUGAGUAAUAAUAAUAUAUAUUUAUUUGGAGGUAGGCUUUCGUCUCAUGCAGAUUGAUUAGAGAGAAAACAAAACAAUUUUAAGCUCGUUAGAUUCGAAGCUGCUUACCUGUCGUGUGGGGAUCACUUCCGUGUCUUAUUUUUCUAAAAAAGUCUGGACCAUUGGAUUUAUGUGAAUCGUACUGAACAUUGGAAUUGAUGUAUAAGAAAAAAAUUUUGUAGUCGUUUAAGGAAAAAAAUUAUUCAAUUGGGAAUUUUUUUCCUUUAAUUUUUGUUGUACUUGAUUGAGAUUUCUCCUUAGUCCCUACAGUUUUAAGUUUGGAAACCGUAGGAUUAGUAAUUUCGUACUUCCUUUGCAAGCUGAGUAUAAGGAUGAAAUUCUUUUAAGAAAUUAAAAAAGAUAAAAAAAAGCAUACCAAUAGGCAAUUAUAAAUAACCACAAAUAAAUAUAAACAAAAUGUUUAUGACGUAAAUUAAACAUGCUCAAUUAUUUUCUUUUAUUUUCUGCUCGGAAACCCAUAAAUGCACUAAUCCAGUAUUACUAAUUUCAGACAGAAAAAUUUGAAUUUAACCGGUAUACAUUUCUACAAACCAAACAAGGCUAUUAUUUUUAUUAUUAUUUUUUUUUUUUUAUAAAUUACUAUUUUAAUUUUUCACUUUUUAUUGGGUUGCUUAACAGAUUAGUGAAGUUGGUGGUCGUUGAUGCACUCACAAGGUACAAUUUUAUUUUAGAAAUUGAAAUUUCGUAUUUUAAAAUGCAGGCACAUUAUGUAUGCAUAAUUAUUGAUUUUCAUAUGUGGGUGUUUUGAAAUAUUGCUAAAAGACCAAACUUUAAUAAACUAUUUUUGAUCUUUUUUUUUCCUUUGUACCUAAAGUUAGAGUGAUAUCCGCAUUUUAAAUUCAUGUGGACCAAAAGCUAAUGUAUGGACAAAAUUAUUUUAUUUUUCCGAGAAAAAUGGGUAAGAGAAGAAGAUUUUUCUCUUGAAAAAGAAAAACUAAUACGUUGCAAGCAUAGGAAAGAGGCUAGUGUGUUUGGAUUUGAAUUUAGUAUUGAGUUCAAUUUUAUGCUAAGCUCUUUUAUAAUACUGCGAUUAGGGAGCCCUUAAGUUACAUGUAAUAUAACUUACACUCGCUCACUUAAAUAGUGGGUGGGUUGGGGGCCCACUCACUGUUCAUGUGAGUGAGUGUAAGUUCCAUUAUAUGUAAUUUAGCACUUGCCUUGCGAUUAAUAAGCUCAGGAUUUGCUUUUGCUUUUACUUCAAGUAAAAGAAAGAGGAAACCUUUUGUUUUUUGUUUGAUUUUUGACUAUAUAUGUUACCUAUAUAGAGAGUUGAGAUGGCUGCCUUAAGUGAUGGUGAUAAAAAGAUUAAGCAGCGCACACAAUCUUACUAUCGUCCAGACUGUCCAGUGAUAGACUCUAGUUUUUUGGUUACAUUAGCUUUAGUGGAAAGAAGGGCCAAUUUAACAAAGACUAGAUUUGGUGGCUUGUUGUAAUGCUUAUUCUCAGGGAAUCUAAGGUUAUAAGAUGAUUGAAUGAUCUUCUAUGAUUGUGAGCAGUAUAUUAUAAUUGAAGAGAGCUUGGGCUCCUAUGAUGUAUAACAAUAACACAUUACUAUGAUUGAGAAAACUCAGUUACAAUAAACUCUUCAUUUAUUCAUUGCUGAGAUUGAAUGGCAAAUAGAGAAUAGAAUGAAGCAGAGGAAUCUCAUUGCCUGUAAAAUUGAGCCUAUUUAAUAUUACUUGUAGUUUUUAUUGUAAAAUAUACAGGUAUGACCAUGAUCAGAUGCUUUUUUUAAAAACAAAUGAGACAUCUUUGAUUUAUGGUAGUUUUAGAGAAAAAAAAAACAUAUAAAAAUUAAGAGGGAUGAGUUAACUGACGAUUACAAUCAUUACAGCAAUGCUGAUGAGUGAUACAUCACUUGAAAUUUAUUUGUCAGUUGCUGUAAUGAUGGAAAAAAACAAUAAACAAUAACAGUAAUAAUGUUCCCUUGCUGAAAUUCAAUUUUGACUUUCGACUCUUGGCUUUUAUGGAGAGUAAAAUGACUUGUAUAUUAUCCUCAUACAAUCCACUCUACAUAAUGAUAUCAUUUUAAUAAGGCAAUGGCUGAUGAUCUCCAUUGAAAAACUUUUUGUUUUAUUUAACUUUUUGGUUGUUGAAAAUAACCUUAAUUAUCAAAUAAUCAGAGAAAGAGUAAAGAACAUUUAACAAAUUUAUGUGCCAAAAAAAAAAGGAGAAAUUGAAGAGAAAGGAUGCUUGCAGAAGUGGGUGUCAAAGAGAUAAAUCGGUCUAUAAGAAUUAUUGUGGUUAUUUUUUUGGUGCCUUGGAGUUCUUUAAAUUAAGGGCCCAGUUUGUCCAUUUGUUUCAGUUAGGUCCUUAUUAAAAAUUAAUUUUAAUAUUGGUUUUCUUAAUUAUAACUAAUACUAAUGAUAUUUCAUAGUUAUAAAUAUAUUAGAAUUAAUCCAAAACAUUUUUUAGUGUGGCAUGGCUAAAACUACCUUUUCUAUUAGUAAUUACUACUUUUGCAUUAAGGAAAAUACUCCUAUUUUUAGAAAAAAGUCAAGUACCUAUAGUUGUGAGAACUUGAGCUCACUCGCUUAUGAUAAAUCUUCAUAUUAAUUACGAAAAUAUCCUCUAAAUUUUAACUAAACUAUUCGAAAUUCAAUGUUAUUCGGAUAUUUCGUUUAUUUGAGCAGGGGUUAGGGGUCAAUUUGAUACAAAUUCAAAAUUAUCCUCAUUUGCGAAGAUGAUAAAAAUUAGGGAUUUAAUUUGGAUGUCACUGGCCACAAAUAUUAAACUCAUGCAUCUCAAAAUUAGAGGGCUGAUAUAUAUGCAUUAUCGUUAUAUUGACAUGUGUCACCAUCCCACAACCUCUCCAAUGAAAAAUUGACAUGCAUCUUGUGUGCUUCUUAUCAAAAUCCUGAAAAUUAAUCACAAAGUUAUAUUUUUAUUAUAAAAAGAAGAAAGAAACUCCAUAAGUGAAAAAAAAAAAGACUUAAACAUAAAUAUUUUAGAUAAUCUAGAUUUCAAGUUGUCUAUACUAGCUUGAUAUUUUUAUAAAUAUCAAGAUUUCAAGUUGUCCAUAGUAGCUUGAUAUCUUCUAAAAAAAUUCCAUCAACAUAUAUUUUAAUUUUACGUUAAUUAAUAAAUAGAAAAUUCAUUUUAGAAUUAAUUAAAACAUUAUUUAUUGUUGCCAAAGAAGGAAGUACUUAGCGAUAAGAAAAAAGUGUCUCAAAUAUAUGUUAAAAAAAAAUCAUGGUCGGUUGGACUGAUUGAAUUUUUUUUUCUUUUUCUUUUUUAAGAAUUAAGACAAUUGGAUUGAUUGAGUAAUAAUAAAAUAUAUUUAUUUGGCAAAUGGCAGGUAGGCUUUCUUCUGAUGCAGAUUGAUUAGAGAGAAUAUGCAGCAAUUUUAAGCUUGUCAGAUUCGGAGGCUGCUUAUCUGUCGUGUGGGGAUCACUUCCAUGUCUUAUUUUUCUUGAAAAAUCUGGACCGUUGGAUUUACCAUUAGUCAAUAGAGAAAUGCUGAUCUUGAUUCUUGAUCAAGAUCGAAGUUUGAUUCUAUCUAACAUGAUAUCAGAUUGCGAAGCAAGCAAAUUGAAAGUAACUUGUUCUAUUUUGAUGGAAGAAACACAAUUUCUAUUGUUCUAAUAAAAAAUUUUAAUUAUACAUAUUUUUCUUUUGCCACUUGGGUUUGUAGUCCAGUGGUGAACUAUUGGCCUUAAAGUUAAGUAUGACUAUGAGGGCAAUGGUUCGAGUGCCCACGAACUCAAACUCCCUCAAUUAAACAUAAUUAUGUGGAGAUUACUUAUAACGUCUUUCUCUCUUGUGAAAUCUGAGUGGAGUAGAAAUAUCCCUUUCCCGUGAGGGUUAUUUGGCUAGGCAUGUACUUUAUAGAAUAAAAAUGUAAUAAUGUAAGUCAGUGCAAUGAUCUACUGUCAUAGUAGUUGUAAAUAUCUAGGUGUAAUACAGUAACCUGAUGCUUAAUCAGUUAAAAAAAAUGUAUAUCUUUUUUUUAUUUUUUUCAUUGUGAUCACUAUAACUAGUCAAAUUUAUUUUUAAAUAUUUUUUAAAAAAAUAUUUUAUUAACAAUGAUAUGAAAAUAUUCGAACCCCUUCUCAUAGUAAAGUGAAUUACUAUCCAACUGAUGCCUUCAAACUGUAAAUUGCAAAUCGUGUGUUUGCUCCAUUACAGGGUGUCUUCAAUUUAAAAUAGAGAAUAAUUUGGUUCUAGAUUAAUCGUGGGUCUAUAUCCAAAUCCAAAAAUUGACUAACUUGAUUUCUAUUAAGUUCUCAACCCUAACACGAAAAAUAGAAGAUUAAAAAUGACUAUUUUGGUUUCUAUUAAUUUGAGUAACACUUAAUAUUUAUCAUACAAUAGUCACUUAUAUUAUCAAAAUCUUGGGUCGAAAAUAUUAGGAUAGGUGAUAAUUGGAAUUAAGUUGUAGAUAAGAUAGAAAUGGAUUUGGAGAGAGAUUGGAAUCCUGGCUAAUCCGGUGCACGUUGUUGCGUUAAAUUCUCGUUGACUUCACGUUGACCGAAGCAUUAUUGGAAGAAACAAGCAAGCUUAUUUUCUUCUCUCAUUUUUUACUUUUGUCUAAAUUUAUUGAUGUGAGGCCUCUGAGAUGGUAAAGUGUUAAAUCUGAGAAGAGUACCCACACACCCAUUAUCCUAUUACUCUUAUUUUAUCACAUGCAGAGACGUCAACGUUUGAUUCGCACGGAAAAAAAUUUGCUAGGAUUGUGAGGGUUGAUGUAAUGUAAUUUAGAUGCAAAGUGUUCACAAGUGCGAUGCUUCGUAAGUGUACUUGAAUCAUUAUAAACUCACCUUAUUUUCAUAGUGAUUAUUUCAUCUGCAUGUGAAUAUAAUCAUAUGUGGAGAUUUUUUUCCUAAAUUAUGAUCUUCUCUGGUAUUGAGGUGUUAUAUUUUUUAAAGGUUAAUGUUAAGUUACAUGCAUGUAACUUACAACCCUCUCACAUGAAUAGUGAGUGGACCCACACCAUUCACUAUUCAUAUGAGAGGGUUGUAAGUUACAUCCUCUUUUAAAUUAUAAUUAUUAUUAUAAAAAAACUGCAACUAUGAAAAAAAAUUAAUAUUAUGUCCUGAAUAUAAUUGUUAAAUAAUAAUUUUGACAAAAUUAAUGAAUAUAUACAGUUUUUUUAUCAUAUAAGUGUAAAAUUAUAUCAAAUUAGCUUUUAAAUUAUACAGUGGCUACUGCUUAUCAAACACUUUAGUGUUGUAACUUUUAAGUUAUAACUGUCUAGCCUUUAACCUCAAUCUCAAACGAGGCUUAUAAAGAUCAAGGAUUUCCUCAUAAAAAUUAUACGUCUUGUGAUUGCUUAUUUAAUUUAUAUUUUCGUUAUUUAUCUUUAUUAAUUAUAGUCAUCUUUUUAUAAAUUACAAUUGGAGAAAGUUGGUUGAUGUUGUUGACACACACACACACAUACAAAGAUAUAUUGGAAGUGCUUAUUAUGUCGACUCGAAGUUGUGGGGAGUUAAUGCAUGUAUUGAUUUAUUGGGAGUGUUUAAAUUAUUUUGUGAUUUACUUGAUAGAUUGAUUGAUUGAAUAUUGUUUGAUUGCUUCAUAUCAAUUCUGGAAAGUUUAUUUCUUUGUGAAAUUUCAACGAAAUAUGUUUUUUAAAAUAAUAAGGGUGUUUUAAGUAAUUUUGAAAAAUAAAUACACUAAUUAGAAUUAAUUAUUAAGUAAUUAACUCGAACUGUAGAGGAUAAGCAAACAUUUAUCCUAAUUAUAUUAUGAUAAAUCCUUUUCCAACUAGAAUUAGGAAACCAUAGAUAUACAGAUUUUUAUUUUUAUUUCCCUUUGCGAAAACGGAUUAGAGAAUUAGAAAACAAUCCUAGUGAGACUAUUGUUAGGUUUAAUAUUUUGUCGAAUUUGGAAACUUUUUGUCGAAUUAGAAAACAUGCGUGGUGAAUAUUUUGUCGCAUGCAAACUUUUUGUUUUAUGCAAAUCGUACUGAACAUUGGGACUGAUGUUUAAGAAAAAAAUUCUGUAGUUAAAGAAAAACAAAAAGGCAUGUUGAAUAGAUUACGAUAGUUUAUUCAAUUGGGAAUUUUUUUUCUUUAAUUUUUGUUGUACUUGAUUGAGAUUUCUCCUUGGUCCUUACAGUCUUAAGUUUGGAUACCGUAGGAUUAGUAAUUUCGUACUUCCUUUGCAAGCUGAGUAUAAGGAUGAAAUUCUUUUAAGAAAUUAAAAAAAAAUGAUAAAAAAGGCAUACCAGUAGGCAAUUAUAAAUAACCACAAAUAAAUAUAAACAAAAUGUUUAUGAAGUAAAUUAAACAUGCACAUAUUAUUUUCUUUUAUUUUCUGCUUGGAAACCCAUAAAUACACUAAUCCAGUACUACUAAUUUCAGAUAGAAAAAUUUGAACUCUAAGCUGCAGUUUGACUCAAAAUGAUGAUCACUGGCUUCGCACCAUUUAACCGGUAUACAUUUCUACAAACUGAACAAGGCUAUUGAUUUUUAUUAUUAUUUUAAUUUGUUUAUAAAUUACUAUUUUAAUUUUCACUUUUUAUUGGGUUGUGUAACGGAUUAGUGAAGCUGGUGGUCGUUGAUGCACUUACAAGGUACAAUUUUAUUUUAUAAUUUCAAAUUCGUAUUUUAAAAUGCAGGUACAUUAUGUAUACAUAAUUAUUGAUUUUCGUAUGAGGGUGUUUUGAAAUAUUGCUAAAAGACUAAACUUUAAUAAACUAUUUUUGAUCUUUUUUUUUCCUAAAGUUUGGGUGAUAUGCGCAUUUUAAAUUCAUGUGGAACAAAAGUUAAUGUUUGUAUAAAAAUUCUUUUAUUUUUUUGAGCAAAAUAGGCAAGCGAAAAAGUUUUGGCAAAUGAGUUGCAACUGAAUCCAAAACCAAUACAAUGCAAGCAUAGGAAAGAGGCCAGUGUUUAGGAUUUGAAUUUAGUAUUAAGCUGAAUUUUAUGGUACGCUCUUUUAGAGUACUGUGAUCGAUAAGCUCAGCCCCGGAUUUGCUUUUGCUUUUGCUUUUACUUCAAGUGAAAGAAAGAGGAAACCUUUUGUUUUUUCUUUGGUUUUCAACUAUGUUACCUAUACAGAGAGACAAGAUACCUGCCAUAAGUGAUGGUGUUAAAAAGAUUAAGCAGCGCACACAAACUUACUAUCGUCUAGACCAUCCAGUGAUGACCCUAGUCUUUUGGUUACGUUAGCUUUAGUUGAAAGAAGGGCCAAUUUAACAAAGACUAGAUUUGAUGGCUUACUAUGUUUAAUGUAAUGCUAAUUUUCAGGGAAUCUAAUGUUAUAACUUAUAAGAUGAUCUCCUAUGAUGAACAACAGUAACACAUUACUGUGAUUGAGAAAACUCAGUUACAAUAAACUCUUCAUUUACUCAUUGAGAAGAUUGAAUAGCAAACAGAGAAUAGAAUGAAGCAGAGGAAUCUCAUUGCCAAUAAAAUUGACCCUCUUUAAUGUUAUAUGGCACAGGUGUGGAGGAAGAACAAGUUACUUGCAGUUUUUAUAGUAAAAUAUACAGGUAUGACCAUGAUCAUUACAGUUAGGUUUUGAUGAUUUCGGAUGCUUUUUUUAAAAAAAAAAAAAUUGUGACAUCUUUGAUUUACGGUAGUUUUGUAGAAAAAAAAUAUAUAAAAAUUAAGAGGGAUGAGUUAAACUGACGAUUACAAUCAUUCCAGCAAUGCUGAUGAGUGAUACAUCACUUGAAAUUUACUUAUUAGUUGCUGAAAUGAUGAAAAAAAAAAACAAUAAACGAUAACAGUAAUAAUGUUCCCUUGCUGAAAUUCAAUUUUGACUUUCGACUCUUGGCUUUUAUGGAGAGUAAAAUGACUUGUAUAUUAUACUCAUACAAUCCACUCUACAUAAUGAUAUCGUUUUAAUAAGGCAAUGGCUGAUGAUCUCCAUUUAAAAACUACAUCAAUUUUUUUGCUUCAUUUAACUCUCUGGUUGUUGAAAAUAACCUUAAUUAUCAAAUAAUUGGAGAAAGAGUUAAGAACAUUUAACAAAUUUAUGUGCAAAAAAAAAAAAAAAAAGGAGAAGUUGAAGAGAAAGGGUGCUUGCAGAAGUGGGUGUCAAAGAUAAAUCGGUCCAUAAGAAUUAUUGGGGUUAUUUUUUGGCAAAAUAAGAACUUAUGCGAUAGCAUUUUUUAUGGGUGCAUAUAACCUCCCUUUAAAAAAAUAUAUAAUAAUUACUGCUUAAUAUAGUAUUAAAUACAAAAAUAUCAAUAUUUGACUACUUAAAUUUAUAUCAUUAGGUCCUUAAAAUUUAAAAUGGAAGAUAUGAAAGGAAAUAUAUAUAAAUUUCAUUGUCCUGGUAAAGGGCCCUCUUAUAAUCUUAUAAUAUUUGAACUUUGAUAGAUUUUUUGAAACAAAUGUACUUUUAUUUGUGUACAAUCAAUAUUUACUCAUUUAUUAUAUUUUAAUUUAUUAACUAUUAAUCAUGUAAGUAUACUUAAUCAGAAAAAUUAUAUCAAGAGAAAAUUCUAAUUUCACGCAAAAACAAAUACCAAAACAAAUAUCUCAAUUUCUAUACUAUUCACUUUCCUGUAGAAUCAAUUAUUUAAAAUGCAAGUUUGUGGCUACAGAAAACUCGCCAAAGAAAGAAGAUAAUAACAAUUGAGCAUUGAUAGCAAAACUAAUGCAUCCAAUUCUUCUUGACUUGAUGAGAUGGCGCCAUAACGUAGACACAAGUACCUAAAUUGACCGGCACUGAGUGAUGUGAAUACUACCAGCCAGUUCAUCUCUUCCAGUCUUGCUUAAUCACAAUCACAAACACCACGAGAUCGACAUUUGCAUUAUAUAUAUCUUCAGCAAUCGAAACACCUUGCAUUACCAAAUAAGCCCGUAACAGACAAAGCAAUCUUUCAUGGAGAGAAACCUUAGUCUCAGUAUGAUCACUGUGUCAUUAACCUACUGCCUGCUUCUUUGCUUGGUUGCUGCAGCAGCAGCAGCGGCAAGCAACAAUAUUACCACAGACCAACAAGCUCUUCUUGCCCUGAAAGAUCAUAUAAUUUAUGAUCCGACCAGCCUUUUAGCUCACAAUUGGACCUCGAAUACCUCUGUUUGUACCUGGAUUGGCAUCACUUGUGAUGCCAAUAGCCAUAGAGUCACAACCUUAGAUAUUUCUCAAUUCAAUCUACAAGGCACCAUCCCUCCUCAACUUGGAAACCUCUCUUCACUCACAACACUUAAUCUUAGUCAUAACAGGCUUUCUGGAAGCGUUCCCUCCUCCAUCUACACCAUGCAUACGCUAAAAUUUCUUGACUUCACUGAUAACCAGCUCUCUGGUUCAGUGUCUUCCUUCGUCUUCAACAUGUCUUCAAUAUUAGUAAUUCGUUUGACCAAUAACAUAUUUUCUGGUGAGCUUCCGAAAAAUAUUUGCAACUAUCUUCCUUAUUUGAAGGCCCUUUUCUUAAACAAAAACAUGUUUCAUGGCAAAAUUCCUUCUGCUUUAUCAAAGUGCAAACAACUGCAACAAUUAAAUUUGCAGUUCAAUAAUUUAUCCGGUGCAAUACCAAAAGAAAUCGGCAACUUGACUAUGCUCAAAGGGAUAUAUCUCCUCUACAACAAACUCCACGGUAUGUUCACAAUACUAUAUAAAUAUUUUAAUUUAUCACUUAUUAUCUUUCUUGAAUAAUUUAGCUAAGAUCUUGUAAGAGAGAUAUUUUGCAUCUACGUUAAUUUACCAGGUGAGAUACCCCACGAAAUCGCUAAUCUUCCAAAUCUAGAGGCUUUAGCGCUUGGAAUCAACAACCUAGUUGGUGUGUUACCAGCUCCCAUCUUCAACAUGUCAACACUGAAGGUACUUAUCCUCAUAAAUAACUCUCUCUCCGGAAGUCUUCCAUCAAGAGUAGACCUUUCACUUCCAACUGUUGAGCAACUUAACUUGGCACUUAAUAGAUUUUCUGGAACCAUUCCUAGUUCCAUCACCAAUGCUUCUAAGCUCACCUUUCUAGAGUUGGGAGCAAACACAUUUUCGGGGUUUAUUCCAAACACAAUUGGUAAUUUAAGAAACCUUAAGUGGCUCGGCUUGGCUAAUAACUCCUUGACAUCUUCAACCUCAAAAUUGAGCUUUCUUUCCUCUUUGGCAAAUUGCAAGAAAUUAAGAUUCGUAAACUUAAUAGGCAAUCCACUGGACGGCUUCCUUCCAAGUUCAAUAGGUAAUCUUUCUGUGUCUUUGGAAACACUUGGCAUCGGCAAUUGCAGUAUUAGUGGCAACAUUCCUCCAGCAAUUAGCAAUUUAAGCAACUUGUUGACCUUAGUAUUACACGGCAAUAAAUUGACUGGACCAAUCCCAACUACAUUCGGCCAACUGCAGAAACUCCAAGGCUUAGAUCUUGCAUUCAAUAAGUUGGUAGGUUCAUUCCCAGAUGAGCUUUGCCAUCUGGCAAGGCUGGAUCAAUUGAUCUUAUUUGGCAAUAAGCUUUCAGGAUCUAUACCUUCAUGCUUAAGCAACCUCACUUCUCUAAGAUCUCUCUAUUUAGGGUCUAAUAAGUUUACUUCUGUUAUUCCCUCAACCUUCUGGAGCCUAAAAGACAUCUUGUUCUUUGACUUUUCAUCAAAUUUCUUGGUUGGUCCUCUUUCUUUAGAUAUAGGAAAUUUGAAGGUGCUUCUAGGAAUAAGUUUAUCGAAAAAUAAUUUAUCCGGUGAUAUCCCAGCCACAAUUGGAGGACUGAAAGAUCUUCAAUUUAUGGACCUAGCAUAUAAUAGAUUGGAAGGCCCAAUUCCUAAAUCAUUUGGUGACUUGAUAAGUUUAGAAGUUCUGAAUUUAUCAAAUAAUAAAAUCUUUGGGUCUAUUCCAACAUCCAUGGAGAAACUUUUUUACCUCGGAGAGUUAAAUCUCUCUUUCAAUAAACUAGAAGGUGAGAUUCCUAGUGGAGGAACUUUUGCCAACUUCACAGCUAAGUCAUUUAUGGGAAAUGAGUUUUUGUGUGGUUUACAAAAUCUUCAAGUCCAACCAUGCAAAGUUAGCAAGCCGAGGACAGAACAUAAAUCAAGGAAAAAGAUACUUCUCAUUGUGAUUGUUUCGCCAUUGAGUAUUGCUCUAACAAUAGCAAUCACUCUAGCUCUCAAAUCUAAGCUGAUCGAAUGUGGAGAAAGAAGCACAGUGUUGUCAAAUGAUAGUAUCUUGUCAUCACAAGCAACACUAAGAAGAUUUUCAUACUUAGAACUUUUACAAGCAACAGAUAAUUUUGCUGAAAACAGCAUAAUUGGCAGAGGAGGUUUCGGUUCCGUUUAUGGAGCAAGACUUGAAGAUGGGAUGAAGAUUGCAAUAAAAGUGUUUCACAGGCAAUGUGCAAGCGCAUUGAAGAGUUUUGAGGCUGAAUGUGAAGUGAUAAAAAAAAUUCGCCAUCGAAACCUUAUCAAAGUUAUCAGCAGUUGCUCGAACGAUGACUUCAAAGCAUUAGUCCUAGAAUACAUGUCCAACGGGAGCUUAGGGGAUUGGCUGCAUUCGAGCAAUUACGUGCUGAAUAUUUUUCAAAGGUUGAACAUACUAAUUGACGUUGCAUCAGCUUUAGAAUACCUCCACUUCGAUCAUUCAACUCCUAUUAUUCAUUGUGACUUAAAGCCUAGUAAUGUAUUGUUGGACGAAAAUAUGGUUGCUCAUUUGAGUGAUUUUGGCAUAGCAAAGCUUUUAAGUGGAGAAGAUGAGUCUACGAUGCGAACAAAAACCCUUGCCACUAUAGGUUAUAUGGCACCAGGUUUGCUUCAAACAACUUUUUUUUUUUAAACUUCAUUUUAAAUUUUCUAAAUCAUUGAUUUUUACGAUCCUCAUAUCAAAUUGUUAUUGAUUAUUUAUCUAAUUGUGAAAUUAAUUUGAUUCAUAGAGUAUGGCAUAGGAGGAGAAGUAUCUACAAAAAGCGAUGUUUACAGCUAUGGGAUUAUGCUGAUGGAAACUUUUACCAAGAAAAAACCCACAGAUGAAAUUUUUGUUGGAGAAUUGAGCUUAAAGCAUUGGGUUAAUGACUUGCUUCCUAAUUCAUUAGUGGAAGUUGUGGACAAAACUCUGCUAAGUGGAGAGGAAAAACACUCUGCAGCAAAGGAGCAAUGUCUGUUGUCUAUCUUUAGUUUGGCUCUGGAGUGUACAAUGGAAUCACCGGAAAAGAGGAUUAAUGCAAAAGAUAUUGUUACCGGAUUACUCAAGAUAAGAGACACAUUCAGUAAAAGGAUAGGAAAUUUAAGUUAAUUUCGUUUGCUUUCAUUGAUAGUUAAUUCGAAUUCAUGUAAUAAGUGUAAGAAUCUUAUAUCUUUUCCUUUGAUAUAUUUUUUUUCUUGAGAAAACUGUUGUAGUCAUCUUGUUUCCAUGGGCAGAGUUGAUUUAGUUCUUCCAAAAAAUGCUACUGAUGACCUUUGUUUAAUACUUUCUCUUUUUUUGCAUGUGUUUAGGUAGAACAGUGGUUUGGCUGCAGGCUAAUAAGUCAAGCUACGCCAAAAGCGUAUGAUUUAAUUUAUUAAACAUAACUUCAAGUUCAAGAAGUGUUUCUCAUUGCCACCAAUGCUUUGGACACCUGUUGGAAGGUUUGUUGUCCUCAGCUUUUGUUUAGAGCAAAAGUUCGAGUCCCAUAAAGGCUCAAACAUUCCUUUCCUUCAUCCCGAGGGCGCCUUCUGUCCUCUGUUUUCUGUUUCCACACACAAAUAGCACAAAGAAUUUAGAAUGACAACUGGGACAUAUAUAAGAGUGAAAUAAUUAAAAAAAUUAUGCUUUUUUGUUUGUCGUGUUAAAAUCGUAAGUACCGAAGUACUGUGAAAGAGAUUAAUUUACAGAAACUGAAGCCAAGGGUUCAAAAAAAACUAUUGAUGUAGCUAGAAUGCAAUGUCAUAUUCAUACAGAGAUGAAGUAUAUUAUUUACGGCUGGUAAGGACUAGGAAUUGAUGUAGCUAGAAUCCAAAGAUGAUAAGGUAUGUUGUGCACUAUUGUUUUAUUCUACGGUCAAUCUUGACCCUUGGUGCUUGGCU
rnacentral:lncRNA from 1 species